UCAACGUCGGCAUGAACCAGCUCACCGGCCCGAUCCCGUCAUCCUUCUCGUGCCUCAGCAGCGUCGAGCAGCUCAACCUGGGCGGGAACCGCCUCUAUGGCCAGGUGCCCGACGCGCUCUGCAAGCUCGCCGGGCCAGCCGGCCGCCUCGCCAACCUCACGCUGCCCGGCAACUACUUCACCUCCGUCGGGCCGGCGUGCGCGGCGCUGAUCAAGGACGGCGUCCUCGACGUGAAGAACAACUGCAUUCCGGGCCUCGCCAACCAGAGGCACCCGGCGGAGUGCGCGGCGUUCCACAGCCAGCCGAAGACGUGCCCGGCGGCGACCCCUCAGGUGGCUUGCCCCGCCGCGGCUGCCAAGGGCGCGGUGGCGGCGCCGGGGGAGAGGAAGGCUAGGGACUACUCCAGCUACGUGACGUAUGCUACUCUGCAUGAGUGAGCCGCUUCGGUCGGCAUGCAGUAGGAGACAGAGUGCCUCGGUGGGACUUUGGCUAUUUGUUCCUUGUAUUCUUGUGUAGUAUUGUGUGUUGGUGUGCUUGUGCUUGUUGUCUAUUUGCUCUGCACGUGUUGCUGUCACUUAGAUCCAUCUUUGUAUCCAAAGUAAAUUAUUGUUGGUGAAGUAAAGUUCGUUGUAUAUCUGUCUCUGUCUUGGAUGCUCCAGAUGUUGCUUAAAUUACGCAAAUGUCGAUCGGAUAUAUGGCAAUGACUUUGAUCAACAUUAUUACUCCAUCAACCUUAAAAAUAACUAAUGUAGGCAUCUCAGCUCUGUUCCAUACGAGGGCCGGAGUCUUAAAUAAACAGUCUAAAAUUACAGCGAUCUUAGCAUCAACUAUAUACCACAUUCUUUUCUGAUCGAGAAGACUAUAGUACCAGUACAUUUCAGGGACAUUCGAUGUCUUCCGCUAUUCGUUUGUGUUUUCAUGUCUAUGUCCGACGCCGGGGUGAACGACUGAUCGAACGAAACCACAAGCUCCAUCUAUCCCAGCCUCGUGAUCGCGUGCUGGCCUUCGCGACAACUUGUCCGGGUCCGGGAACCGCCCCUACGGCGAGGUUGCUCACGCGCAGCCCCAGGCCAACUCCCGGGGCCGGAUGGCACACGACUUGUUGCCAAACCUCUCGUUGUCACACCCCGCGCGCGCGCUCAACUCUGGCCGGCCGAUCGAGCUGCACUGUUGGAGUGUUGGACACGAGACGAGCAUGCAACUGUGCAGCAUCCCCGGCUACACUGAAGACGUGCCCCGCAACCGCGAGCACCGACGCCGACAUGCCAUGCAUGCGUCGUCGUCGCAUGUGUCACGGACAUGGUGGUGCAAAGGUAGGUAGGUAGGUAGGUAGGGGUCGGGUUCGGGUUCGGCCGCGCUCCAGCUACGUACAUGACGACAUAUGCCGCUCCGCAUGCAGACGCGCGCCAGAGCAAACGGCUGGGCCGAACACCUCGGUCGUAUGUGCUUGUGUUCAUGCGAGUGCAGAUCUAGUGUCGUUAGGUUGGUAGGUGCAGGCAUGUGAGCUUAUUGUGACCCUGGUUGUUUUGUUCCGCGGGGUUGAUCUCGCCGGCAUCAACCAUGUGGUGAUGAUGUCCUUGUAGAGUGCUGCCAUGCUGCGUGCUGUGACAAUUUGUUGUACUAGAAACAACUUGUCUUUAACUUCUAGAGAAACAUUAUUCGGAGUUAAGAAGAUAUUGCUCCGCAAUGCAUAACCUUUUGUCUGGUUGGUGUGCGUGUGUAUAUGAGUAUGAAAUAAUAAGGUCCUGAUUAUUUUUUAGAAAAAAGUGUAGGAAGCUACAUUACUCAGUCAGUCAGUCUUAAUCUAAACGGGAUCUUAUGCAUCUAAGAACAUGAACACCACUUAGAGUAGAGAUGAGACAUCCAACCGGCAGCCAUAGUUUGCGACGAUCCGGCCAUGAUUGUCAUGGACCAGGCCGGGAUGGGAGCUGCUGUAGGUGUACUCACUGUAGGUGUACAAGCUUGACGAGAUCACGCCUGCCUUCGGGCCUCCACCUCGUCUGUCCAGGGACGGCGAUGGUGGUGUGGCGGUAGCCUUCGGGCGAUUCCAGCACUGCCACGAUCGGGUUGGCGUGUUGGGGGAGUUCUCUGGAGGUUUUGGUGCGUUAGCAGUUAACCCAAAACCUGCCGGCUCCCCCUUUUCUUAUAGCGCAGGGUUGCUCGGGGCUACAACCAUAGUUCGGUUGCGCCUCCAAUCGAGGCACGAGGUGGACAUUCGCGAGGGAAAUGUAGUCGGGCAUCACCUUAUCCCUCCUAUUUUUCCUCUGUGUUGUUUUCCUUUUGACCACCUUCAAAAUAUUUCCAACAUUCUCCCCUUUUGGUCUAAAGGCCUAUAACUUAUGCCAUUCUUAAAGCAGAAUUAUAUAGGGAGACAAUAUGUGACAAUGGUGAUUAAAAUCCCACUGUAACACAGUUGUCCACAAUGUAUAAAACUACUUAUCAUGAUGGGAGAUGGUUGUCUUAUGACCCUCCAAGAUCACAGGCUAUCCGAUAACCCCAUGCCGGCAACAUGUUCACUGAAUAUAAUGGGAGGUAAGCCUUUUGUUAAUGGAUCCGCAAGCAUUUUCUUAGUACUUAUAUGCUCUAACUCAAUGGUGUGAUCUUGGAUUCUAUCUUUCACAACAAGAUACUUAAGUUCAAUGUGCUUUGCAGCAUCACUUGACUUGUUAUUCGAAUAGAAAAUUGCUAACUUAUUAUCGCAGUAUAAUUUCAGUGGCCUGCUUAUGCUAUCUACCACUCUUAAUCCUGGGAUGAAAUUUUUAAGCCAUACAGCUUGGCCCACAGCUUCAUAACAUGCCACAAACUCAGCUUGCAUUGUCGAUGCAGCUGUUAGUGUUUGUUUGGAGCUUUUUCACGAUGUAGCCUCAUUUGCAAGUGUGAAGCCAUAACCUGAUGUGGAUCUUCUUGUGUCAACACAACCCGCAAAAUCAGCAUCUGAAUAGCCGAUUAUCUCUAAUUUCUCAGUUCUCUUAUACGUUAGCAUGUAAUUCUUAGUGUCUUGCAUAUAACGCAAGGCCUUUCUAAUGGCCUAUUCCUGGAUUAGACUGAUAUCUUCCAAGCAUCCCGCUUAUAAAGGCCAAAUCAGGGAGUGUACACACUUGUGCAUACAUUAUGCUUCCGACAGCUGAAGCAUAAGGAAUCGUUCUCAUUUGAUCAACUUCUAAUUGAUUCCUGGGACUUUGAAAUAACCCAAACUUAUCACCCUUGACAAUCGGAGCAGCUGUGCCUGAACAUUGGCUCAUAUUAUAUCUCUCAAGGACCUUCUCUAUGUAGGCUCUUUGAGAGAGUCCUAAUACACCUUUGGACCUGUCUCGAUGAAUUUCAAUGCCUAAGACAUAAGUGGUAUCACCGAGGUCCUUCAUAUCAAAUUUCGAUGAGAGAAAUCCCUUGGUCUCAUGCAGCAAGUUCUUAUCGCUGCUUGCUAACAGGAUGUCAUCCACAUAAAGCACUAGGAUAAUUAUAGAGCUCCCCUUAGUCUUAACAUAUAUGCAGUUGUCCUUCUUAUUUUCAAUGAAGCCAAUUUGCGUAAUUACUUCAUCGAACUUAAGGUACCAUUGCCUGGACGCUUGUUCCAAUCCAUAAAUAGAUUUUCGUAGUUUGCAUCCCAAAUGUUCCCAUCACGAAACCCUCAGGUUGUUUCAUGUAUACAUUCUCAUGCAAGUCACCAUUAAGGAACGCAGUCUUAACGUCCAUCUGAUGCAGCUCAAGAUCAUAAUGAGCUACUAAGUCCAUAACGAUUCUAAAUGAAUCUUUCUUGGAGACAGGCAAGAAGGUUUUGUUAUAAUUGACUCCUUCCACUUGAGUGAAGCUGUGGCGGAUCCACUUCGGAUUAGCUAGAUUAGACAGGGUUAACUCGCCUAACAUGCGACACUCCUGCCUAAACCAGGUUAACACGAAGUGCCGUCGGAUUUCAUCCGAUUUAACCACUUAAACAGGAUCGAGUUCAGCAACUCACACAAAGGUGAGUGGUUCCAGAGAAUACAACGAGUCCACUGAGUUAAACAAGUUUACCCAUUUGGUUCGACCAUAAAAUCCAACAUCAGGGUUUUACACGGUUCAGGAGAAACAACAGAGAAAACACUAGCGGAAGACUUCGUCGGGGUCGGACAUCCCUGGUGAGGCCGACCGGGACAUCACUGGUUCCUUUCCUCGCCGUCCGAGGAAGGAUCCCACUCGACCGUCCAGCCCGGCGGGAGCUGGGGCGGCCAAGCGCCAGCAAGGGAGGGGUCGGAAGCAGCAACCUCACCUGAAAAACAGGAGCCACAACAAGGCUGAGCUACUAAGCUCAACAAGACUUAACCGAUAGGGGUAAAACUACUCCUCCUUCUAGACAUGCAGGGCUUUUUGGCUGAGGGGUUUGUUUGCCAAAAGUACUAAGUAUCCCUAUUUUCAAGUUUUAGCUCCGGUUCUAGGUUCAUUUGUCAGUCUAGGUUGUGCAACCUAUUCUAAGCAUUCAUAGAACCAAACAAGAUGUGUAGAUAUAUCCACCAAACAUGUCAUCAUCAGAUUCCUCAUUUACUCAGGGUGACACAGUGAUCAAGCAAUCUCAAACUGUGAGAGGCAGACGAAUCGAUUCGAGUUCUUUAACCAUGCAUGGUGAACCUAGCCUCACGACAUCCACGCACCCGGAGGUCGCUUCCUGUGUCGGCCUUCCCCAUCAAUCCCCUAACCCGUGUCGGGCCCAUUUCCUUUGGUGCAAGGUUCCACAGACCCGGCCUCUGCCGUUCUGUGACCACGCUUGCCACCACGUGCGACAACCAGCAGGGGAAACUCCGUUCCAAGAACAAUGGGGCGACCGCUCACGUCUAGGUUCAAUCCGGUACUAGGCUUCCUCAUCCCAUACUAAGUAUGAGGCUAGUACUUUCAAACACUUGAUCACGAACACCACCACUGUCGGGCCUUAGUAAGUUUUCAUAGACAGACGGGGCGAUCAUCCAUCCACCAAAGAGUUACCCAAAACCCUGCCCCGUCCAUCGUCCUUAUAGUUGUAACAGAAAGAUAGACAUCCAACUACUACAACUCGCGAGUGACAGGAGAUCACUCGACUUUUACCGUCUCCUAGUUAAGCAAGGCGACUACACGGUCCAACAGCUAGUGCUCAGAUCAUGGGGACAACUAAGUCAUGCAUCUAGGGUUUCACACAACUCCUAUACGUAAAUGCACAAGCAUGUUACAGAAGGCAUGCGCAAGUCUGGUAAAACACUCAAGGUUUUCAUGCAACCGGGGCUUGCCUUCAAGCAAGGAGGACGGGAACUGCUCGACUUCGGAGGCGACUUCGGCUUCGGAGGACAGGAGCUCGGCUACAGCUUCUUCUUCUGGCGCCGGGUGUAGCUCGUAGAAGCCGUCGGCGAGGUGCAGCUCUACACGAAUGCAAUGCAAGGGUUAGCAUAGACGGUUAUUUCAACAGCAACACUGACUCGCCUGAGCCCAGAAACUCGCGACAAAGAGCAGGAGGGUAUGGAGGUUCAAGAGAGCUGGUGAAGAUCAAGAGGUAAGGGUAGGAAAGGAACUUAUGAUCUGAUCCUUGAACUAGAGGAUGUGAUAUACUAGGAAGCCUCAGACGCAAGCGCUGAAGGGUUCCUACAUUUUACACAUACCCCCUCCAGUCGAAGAAAAAGAUCACAGCCGAGCCCUCGGGCGAGGCGGAUAAGGGUCGGCGGAACAGACAGGGUCGGGCGAGACGGAACCGGGGUCGGGCGAGGUGGACUGGGGUCGGCAACUCACCUUCUUCCUGAAAGGAAGGCUUAGGGUCGGGAAGAAGCAGACUUGGGCGGAGGGACUAAGGUUUUGAACAGAAGCUAAGACCGGCAAUGCUCCGGCGGCGGCGAUGCUUCUUGCGGAUCACAAGAGAGCUUUUACGCAGCACGGAGGAGCAAGCUACUGGGUGACUUGGAGAAAACUGAGAGAGAAUCCGAGAGAAGAACUCCUCAAGAACUUGGUGUGCGGCUCUAGGAGCUUGAGCAGGGAGCGAGAGAAUGGCUAAGGCGAUAAUGGUAGAGGGAACUCCGGCGACUGGGGCAUUCCUUUUAUAGCCGCUGGAACAGAGGAAAGGAAGCGGCGCGGGAGAGAGAGAAUGGGAGCGGCGCGAAGGCCGGGGAGAGGCAAUGGAGUGCUCUGCCAGGACGGCGAUUGAGCGAAGAGGGCGGUGGUGCAGAACUCCGGGGGUGACGCCAGCGAUCAUUGCGCUCUGUCGUCAGGGCGGCGUAGGAGCGGGUAGACCGGUGGUUGAGAUUUGGCGGAAAGCGGGCGUCGCCGUGCGGAAUAUUUGAUAGAAGCGACCGGUUUAACGGCGCUAGAAUCGAGGGUGCACAGGUGAGAGGACAGGCAGCUGCGGGCGCGGGCGAGAGCGCGGAACAACAGAUUGUCGGGCGGCUUCUGACAGAGCGGGGGAAAGGAGCUGUCGCGGCCGCGGUCGGGGUUGGCGGUGGAGGAAUCGUCGUGUAGCGGAGAUCGGGCGGCGCGACUGUGGUCAAAGGGAUGGAAAAGACGGGCGACAUCGGGCUCUGGGGCCGGGAUCUGGCGGCGUGAUGAUGGGCGCGGGAGGCGAGGCUCUGCAGAAAGGGGUGCAGAGGGGCUUCCGCUGCCAUUGGGGAAGGGGGCGCGAGAACCCACUUGGUCGCUUGCCAGAGACAAAACUAAGCAGCGGGCGUCGGAGAAGACGAGCCACGCGGCAGGGAGACUCUGAAGCGGGCAUGCAACUCGAGUGCGACUGUCGCGGAGGAUCUGGGAAAAGAUCUUGCGGGUCCACCGGUGGAUAGAACGGACGUUUGAGGAUGCUUAGCAGGAUCCGACGGUGGGCUGAGAUCGCCGGGGUCGGGAGAGGAGCGAAACGGGAAGGGGUCGGGUCUUCCGGGGUCGGAACCAGGCGGAAAGCUGACCACUCGGCGUGGGAAAAAGCAAGGUAGAUGACUAGGAUCAAGGGCUCUGAUCAAGACUAACUGGGAAGGUUUAGGGGUCGGUCGUUACAGCCUACCCCUCUUAAAAAGAAUCUCGUCCCGAGAUUCAGGCAUCAAAAGCAGGAUGACGUUUUUACCUCCUUGACGAGAUAGAAAACCUGGGAAGCGCUUGUUCAGAUAUUCGUCUGUUUCCCAUGUUGCUUCAUCUUCGGUGUGGUUUCUCCAGAGGAUCUUGUACAUCUUUACCACUUGGCGUUGGGUGUGCCUUUCCUUCUGGUCAAGAACUCGAUCUGGGUACUCAGCGUAGGUCAGGUCGGGCUCUACCUGAAGUUGUUCUUGCUCUAUGAUCUCUGCUGGAACUCGAACACAUUUCUUCAGUUGAGACACAUGGAAAACAUCGUGUAUGGCCGAUAGCUGUUCUGGGAGUUGGAUCCGGUAAACAACGGGUCCACAUAUCUCCACAAUCUCAUAAGGGCCAAUAUAGCGGGGAGCUAACUUGCCUUUUACUCCAAACCGUUGCACUCCUUUAGUCGGGGAGACUCGAAGGUACACAUGAUCACCAAGGUCGAACUGCAGGGGUCUCCUUCGCCGGUCAAAGUAACUCUUCUGUCGAGAUUGGGCAGCCUUGAGAUUAGCUUGAAUUAACUUUACUUGUUCUUCGGCUUCUGCCACUAAGUCAGGGCCAUAGACCUGUCUUUCUCCUGGUUGGGACCAGUUCAAGGGUGUCCUGCAUCUCCGGCCAUACAGGGCUUCGAACGGUGCCAUCUUCAAACUGGCCUGGUGACUGUUAUUGUAGGAGAAUUCUGCUAAGGGCAGACACUUGUCCCAAUUCUUGUCAUAGUGGAUAACACAAGCUCUUAACAUGUCUUCGAGGAUCUGAUUGACUAUCUCGGUUUGACCAUCGGUUUGAGGAUGAUAGGUUAAGCUUCGGAUGAGCUUAGUGCUCAUGGAUGCUUGUAGUUGCUCCUAAAAACGUGCCACAAACUGAACUCCUCGAUCAGAGAUGAUGGUCUUGGGUACACCAUGUAGGGAAAUUAUGCGAUCGAGGUACAACUCUGCAUACUGCUUGACGGUGUAGGUGGUGCGAACAGGAAGGAAGUGGGCGGUCUUGGUCAGACGGUCCACUAUAACCCAGAUGGAAUCAUAGCGUUGCGAUGUAAGGGGCAAUCCAACUAUGAAAUCCAUGCUGAUGUCUUCCCAUUUCCAAGAGGGAAUAGGUAGCGGUUGCAGGGUUCCUACUACCUUUAAAUGACUGGCCUUGACGCGUUGGCAGGUGUCACAUUCUGAAACAUACCGGGCAAUUUUCGGCUUCAUUCCACUCCACCAAAAGGUUUGACGGAGGUCAUGGUACAUCUUAUUGCUGCCAGGAUGGAUCGAGAACUUGGAGAGAUGAGCUUCAUCUAGGAUUUGCUUUCUCAGCUCGGGGUCGGCGGGUACAACUAGCCGGUUUCCAUAAUGCACACCUCCCGUUUUGUCCUGCCGGAAUUGCUUAUAUCCCUCAUCCUUUACUGAGAUCUUACUGAUGAUCCAUUGUACUUCCGUAUCUCUUACUUGUGCUGACCGGAUUUGGUCUUCCAAAACUGAGUUAAGGAUGAUGUGACCAAGGAUUCCAUGAGGAAUAAUCUCCAAACCGAGUUUUCCCAUCUCGUGACACAGAGUCUUGGUGAAGGCUGCUGACAACAAGCAGUUGCAAUGGUGUUUGCAACUGAGGGCAUCGGCUACCACAUUGGCUUUGCCGGGAUGAUAGUGCACUUCCAAUUCAUAAUCCUUUAUCAACUCCAGCCAUCUUCUCUGGCGCAUGUUGAGGUCGGCUUGAGUGAAGAUGUACUUGAGGCUCUUGUGGUCGGUGUAGAUGUUGCAGCGAGCUCCCAUUAGAUAGUGCCUCCAUAUCUUCAAAGCAUGUAUCACUGCUGCCAACUCAAGGUCAUGGGUUGGGUAGCUUAGCUCAUGAGGUCGUAACGCCCGUGAGGCAUAGGCAAUGACUCGAUUGUCUUGCAUAAGAACACAUCCGAGUCCAGUGCCAGAGGCGUCACAGUAUACGUCAUACGGCCUAGAGGGGUCGGGCUGAGCCAAAACUGGGGCUGUGGUCAGCAAGUGCUUCAGGGUCUUGAAGGUCUCUUCACACUUGUUGUCCCACACAAAUUUGGCCUCCUUCUUCAACAACGCAGUCAUCGGCUUAGCUAUCUUAGAGAAAUUCGGUAUGAAACGCCGAUAGUAGCCAGCCAGUCAAGAAAACUUCUGAUCUGGUGCACUGAGGCAGGAGGCUUCCAUUCCAUGACUUCGUGCACCUUACUGGGGUCAACGGUGAUACCUUCCUUGGAGAUAGUGUGUCCCAAGAACUUGACACUAUCCAGCCAGAACUCACACUUGGAGAACUUGGCGUAGAGUUGGUGAUCUCUUAGCCGUUGGAGAACUAUAUGAAGAUGGUCGGCAUGCUCUUCUUCGCUCUUUGAGUACACGAGGAUAUCAUCGAUAAACACCACCACAAACUUGUCCAGCUCGGGCAUGAACACCGAGUUCAUGAGGUACAUGAAAUAGGCGGGUGCAUUGGUGAGUCCAAAGGACAUGACUAGGUACUCGUACAGUCCAUAUCUGGUAGAGAAAGCUGUCUUGGGUAUGUCGCAGGGUCGAAUCUUUAUUUGGUGAUAACCAGAACGAAGAUCGAUCUUGGAGAACACUUUUGCUCCAGCUAGCUGAUCGAACAAGACAUCAAUGCGUGGCAGUGGGUACUUGUUCUUGACUGUCACGGCAUUGAGGGGUCGGUAAUCCACACACAUACGUAGACUGCCAUCCUUCUUCUUCACAAAUAGGGCAGGGCAACCCCAAGAUGAUGUACUGGGUCGGAUGAAGCCUUUUUCCAACAGAUCAUGCAACUGGGUCUUCAGCUCGGCUAACUCAGCGGGUGGCAUCCGAUAGGGUCUCUUAGAUAUAGGGGUUGUGCCAGGGAUUAACUCUAUGGAAAACUCCACUUCUCUAUCAGGUGGCAUACCUGGCAGGUCCUCCGGAAACACAUCAGGGUACUCACAGAUAACAGGGAGGUCUUCUGGACGGGCUCCCGAUAGAGGGUAGGCACAAGGAAACGCAGACUCAGGAUGGGUCAAGGAUAGGGUAGAAUUGCCAUGGGAGGGUGAGCUGAUGCAGAGAGAUUGGGCUACUGCAUCUAGAACCACAUGAUGUCGGGCCAUCCAAUCCAUACCAAGGAUGACAUCUAUGCCUUCUAGGUCAAGGAUGAUAAGGUUUUCCUUGAAGAGGGUGGGGCCUAGCUGGAGAGGUACAAGAAUAACAACCUGAUCCGAUGUUAUCCUUCCUCCAGGAGUGGCGAUCACAUAAGGUUCCUUAGUGUGACCGACACUUAGCCCACAUCUUUCCCUAGACUUACUCCCAAUAAAGCUAUGAGAGGCUCCCGAAUCAAACAACACAACAACAGCUUGAUUUAAAACAAGGAAAGUACCCAUCAUUACUGGCGCACCUUCGGGGAGCUCGGUCAAGCUGGUGUAGUUGAGUCGGCCUUGUCGGACUUGUACCUUGGGCCUUCUUCCUCUGGCUGCCAUGGUGUUCUGACCUUGCUGUUGAUUCUUGUUCCUGGGGCAGUCCUUUGCAAAAUGCCCUUCAUUGCCGCAGGUAAAACAACGGUUACUGGCUGUAGGGUGGGGUGGUGUUGGCAGGGUCGGCCGGGGCACUUGCGGUUGGAAGCCUAGAAAACGAGGCGCUGUCACUGGCGGGGGUCGGGCAAUCCAUGUCCCUGACUGCUGGGGUCGGCCAGGGGCUUGUGGAGGAACCAUCCGGAACCUUCGAGUCGGCUGACUCGGGAAUGCCACAGAGGCCUUCCUCUUCUGGUCGGCCUUGAGAGCUUGCAUGCAGUCCUCCUGAGAAAUGGCCAGAUUGACCAACUCAUUGUAGGUGUCCACCUUGAUGGGGUUCAACCUUUCCCUGAGCUCCAAGCUCAGUCCUCGGCGGAAUCUGUCCCGCUUCUUCUCGUCUGUGUCCGCAUGAUAGCCAGCAUAACGGCACAGGUCAUUGAAAGCUUGAGCGUAAUGCAGCACAUCUCGGGUUCCUUGAGUGAGGGCCAGAAACUCGUUGAGCUUGCGCUCCAGGAGACCUUCUGGAAUGUAAUGCGCCUUGAACGCCGUCUUGAACUCAUUCCAACUGACCACGUGGCCAACCGGCAGCAUGGCAUGGUAGUGAUCCCACCAAAGCCGUGCGGAGCCACGCAGCUGCUGGGCUGCAAACCGAGCCUUGUUGUUGUCGGGGCAUGGAGCGGUGAGAAGCUCAAACUUGAAUUCGAUCGUACGAACCCAAGCGUCAGCAUCGAGCGGUUCUUGUGUCUUUUGGAACAGAGGGGGCUGUGUCCCCAGAAAGUCCUCAUACCGAGCGAUAUGCGGCGGCUGCUGGGCUCUCCCACCAUGUGGCUGCUGCUGUUGCCCUUACACCAGGUGCCUUAGCAGCUCAGUUUGAGGUGCUAGGAUUGCCUCCAAUGGCGAUGGGGGCGGGGGCGGGGGAAGAUCCUGUCGCUGAUCGCUACCGCUGGGCACAGAACCAGACCUAGUGCGAUGCGCCAUCUGCAAGAGUUAACGCUCCAUUAAACUCAUAACCUUAGAGGGACUCCAACAAAUGGAACGUAUAAAUUAAAUCCUUCAAUGCGACUCUUGCCAUUGGUGCAACACACGUCCUCAUAGAGAAAACACACUUUUCUCGUUCUCAGAGUAGAUAACAUCUAUCUUGACCUGGCACUCAAUCUUCAGGCAAAACAGGUCAUAUACAGACUCCUAUGAUCCAACUCAAGCCAAGGGGUCGGCUAGGCGAUCCUUCCGAGAGAACAAGGGGUCGGCAACGAUCCCUACUUAAAAGGUCGGACGGGGCAGAAACUGCAUCAAGGGUCGGCGCACUCUGUCUCGCAAACUGGGGUCAGCCAACUAAACAGGCUCCCCGAAAAACAGCAUAUGGUCAUGGCGCAACUUACUUAACCUAGCAUCCACACCAUACAAAGAUGAAAAAGCUAGGCACCAGAAUUAACUUUAUAUACCAUGAUGUUCCAACACAGGGAGUACUCAACUCUAGGCUAACCUAUUACAACUUUUUCCAAAAAUCUAGGCUGCUGAGGAGUACAACAAAAAGAUGGUUCCCUGAGAACCCUUAAUCUACCAAUGGACACUAUGAGUCGGAGAAGGGGUGCCAUCUUCCUCUAUAUCCAUGCUGGACGCUCCCUCAUCUUCCUCAGGGUCCUCCUGAGCUUCGAGCUGCAUGUUGAGGGCAUGCAUAUCUUCGAGCUCAGCUUGAUGCUCCUCCAAAUGGGCAUUGGCAACUGCCAACUCCAUUUCCACCUCCAUCUUCUCCUCCGAGAGCUCUAUCAUGCCGUCCACGAGGUCGGCGACUUCUUCCUCAAGCUCGGAGAUCCGGUCUUGCAUAUCGUGGAUCUGGAUACCCCGUUGAAUCAGCUGGUAGGUUUAGCCUACCAUAUCUCUUCUUGUUGCCUGGAGGUACUCGUGAGUAUCUGCUGCCGUCCGGGCGAAGAGGGUCAUGGCUCUCCCCUGAAGCUCUAUCAACUGGUAGAGAGCGGCCAUGCACCUAAUGUUGGUGGAGAUGGUGACCAUGGCGCAGGUGGUGGCUAGCACUUCGAUGUUCCCGACGCGGUCAAGCCAUGCCAGGUCCAGCCGGUUUCUGAUGGGGAAGAGGCCGAUCGGGUCAAGCGUGAUCUUCACGGGAUGCAGCUGACAGAACUGGGUGAGCAACUGGAGGGCGGCGAACUCCCAUGUAUCUUCAGGACCAAGGCCAUAGGCUAUGAUGCCAAAAGAGGGCCAGUCGGGCCGUACAGGGGGAGGAGGUACCACCGCCUGCACUUGGCACGUCUGAAUACCCUGUUCCUGAUAUAGCCGUCCGGCAUACAAGGGUGGGGACUGGUACCCAAACCACUUCAACGUAUCCCACAAAAUCGCAGGGAAUCCCUCGAAAUGCAGGCACGUCGAUUGGAAUGUACCGUCCGCUCCAAAAAGAACGUGCCCGGGAAUAGCCAUCUGGAACCAAGAAACCGAAACCACGUGAGAUAGACUCUAAGGAUCAGGGGUCGGAUAGAGAAGCAUACUGUUUUGAUCGAGAGCAACUAAAAGAAACAAGAAAUCCUUAGAUCCAAGAGAACUCUUCCGAACAAGGUUGCUGUUGAGAAAGGAAACCGUACAACUUUUAGAGAUGACGCAUGCACGGCCUACCUUACUCUUAACCAAAAACAACUGCCCAAAAACUGUGGGUCUUACGCGGUCAGUGCCGGUGACAAGGCAACAAAUACGUCUCUCCCUAUAAUAACUAGUCGGUUCUACAACGUAUCUUAAACGAACGCGGUUAGCGUACCUGCAGAAAAACACCACACACGAACCUUUCGUGCCAGCACCCACGAAAGCGUUCCCAAACAUUACCGCUCACUAUAGGAACGGCACCCAUGCGUUUAAGGCUACAUGGACAGCACUCAACCGUGGAAAUAGGUUCCUUUUGAAUGGAACCAUAUAACCCUUCGCAUACUCGUGAUGCGGAAUCGGCACACGUAUGACAAACGUGGCGAAACAAUCAUGCUGAUAGGUUCGUUGGAAUCGAACCGUACCAACCUUCGUAUGGACCACAUACGGAACCUGCGCACGUGUGAUAGACAUGGGCGAAAACAACCGCGAAGAUAGGGUCCUUUGAAUGGAACUCCCUAUCAACCCUCGCAUGCUCGCGAUGCGGAACUCGGCACACGUAUGACAGACGUGGUGAUGUGCUGGAGGAGUUAGCAAGAUAACCAAGUAAUUAUUAGUCACCUAAAACAACCCCAAAAUCCCCUAGGGCCUCUCGUACUAAAGCCAUCCUUAACGAUCGUACGAGAUUUUUCAAAAGUUUCUUGCAACUUUUAGCUUUUCAAAGAAGUGUUUAGGGCUUGUUGGGUUCUCUGAAAUGCUAAACACGGCUCUGAUACCAGCUGUGGUGGAUCCACUUCGGAUUAGCUAGAUUAGACAGGGUUAAGUCGCCUAACAUGCGACACUCCUACCUAAACCAGGUUAACACGAAGUGCCGUCGGAUUUCAUCCAAUUUAACCACUUAAACAGGAUCGAGUUCAGCAACUCACACGAAGAUGAGUGGUUCCAGAGAAUACAACGAGUCCACUGAGUUAAACAAGUUUACCCAUUUGGUUCGACCAUAAAAUCCAACAUCAGGGUUUUACACGGUUCAGGAGAAACAACAGAGAAAACACUAGCGGAAGACUUCGUCGGGGUCGGACAUCCCUGGUGAGGCCGACCGGGACAUCACUGGUUCCUUUCCUCGCCGUCCGAGGAGGAUCCCACUCGACCAUCCAGCCCGGUGGGAGCUGGGGCGGCCAAGCGCCAGCAAGGGAGGGGUCGGAAGCAGCAACCUCACCUGAAAAACAGGAGCCACAACAAGGCUGAGCUACUAAGCUCAACAAGACUUAACCGAUAGGGGUAAAACUACUCCUCCUUCUAGACAUGCAGGGCUUUUUGGCUGAGGGGUUUGUUUGCCAAAAGCACUAAGUAUCCCUAUUUUCAAGUUUUAGCUCCAGUUCUAGGUUCAUUUGUCAGUCUAGGUUGUGCAACCUAUUCUAAGCAUUCAGAGAACCAAACAAGAUGUGUAGAUAUAUCCACCAAACAUGUCAUCAUCAGAUUCCUCAUUUACUCAGGGUGACACAGCGAUCAAGCAAUCGCAAACUGUGAGAGGCAGACGAAUCGAUUCGAGUUCUUUAACCAUCCAUGGUGAACCUAGCCUCACGACAUCCGCGCACCCGGAGGUCGCUUCCUGUGUCGGCCUUCCCCAUCAAUCCCCUAACCCGUGUCGGGCCCAUUUCCUUUGGUGCAAGGUUCCACGGACCCGGCCUCUGCCGUUCUGUGACCACGCUUGCCACCACGUGCGACAACCAGCAGGGGAAACUCCGUUCCAAGAACAAUGGGGCGACCGCUCACGUCUAGGUUCAAUCCGGUACUAGGCUUCCUCAUCCCAUACUAAGUAUGAGGCUAGUACUUUCAAACACUUGAUCACGAACACCACCACUGUCGGGCCUUAGCAAGUUUUCAUAGAUAGACGGAGCGAUCAUCCAUCCACCAAAGAGUUACCCAAAACCCUGCCCCGUCCAUCGUCCUUAUAGUUGUAACAGAAAGAUAGACAUCCAACUACUACAACUCGCGAGUGACAGGAGAUCACUCGACUUUUACCGUCUCCUAGUUAAGCAAGGCGACUACACGGUCCAACAGCUAGUGCUCAGAUCAUGGGGACAACUAAGUCAUGCAUCUAGGGUUUCACACAACUCCUAUACGUAAAUGCACAAGCAUGUUACAGAAGGCAUGCGCAAGUCUGGUAAAACACUCAAGGUUUUCAUGCAACCGGGGCUUGCCUUCAAGCAAGGAGGACAGGAACUGCUCGACUUCGGAGGCGACUUCGGCUUCGGAGGACAGGAGCUCGGCUACAGCUUCUUCUUCUGGCGCCGGGUGUAGCUCGUAGAAGCCGUCGGCGAGGUGCAGCUCUACACGAAUGCAAUGCAAGGGUUAGCAUAGACGGUUAUUUCAACAGCAACACUGACUCGCCUGAGCCCAGAAACUCGCGACAAAGAGCAGGAGGGUAUGGAGGUUCAAGAGAGCUGGUGAAGAUCAAGAGGUAAGGGUAGGAAAGGAACUUAUGAUCUGAUCCUUGAACUAGAGGAUGUGAUAUACUAGGAAGCCUCAGACGCAAGCGCUGAAGGGUUCUUACAUUUUACACAUACCCCCUCCGGUCGAAGAAAAAGAUCACAGCCGAGCCCUCGGGCGAGGCGGAUAAGGGUCGGCGGAAAAGACAGGGUCGGGCGAGACGGAACCGGGGUCGGGCGAGGUGGACUGGGGUCGGCAACUCACCUUCUUCCUGAAAGGAAGGCUUAGGGUCGGGAAGAAGCAGACUUGGGCGGAGGGACUAAGGUUUUGAACAAAAGCUAAGACCGGCAAUGCUCCGGCGGCGGCGAUGCUUCUUGCGGAUCACAAGAGAGCUUUUACGCAGCAUGGAGGAGCAAGCUGCUGGUGACUUGGAGAAAACUGAGAGAGAAUCCGAGAGAAGAACUCCUCAAGAACUUGGUGUGCGGCUCUAGGAGCUUGAGCAGGGAGCGAGAGAAUGGCUAAGGCGACAAUGGCGGAGGGAACUCCGGCGACUGGGGCAUUCCUUUUAUAGCCGCUGGAACAGAGGAAAGGAAGCGGCGUGGGAGAGAGAGAAGGGGAGCGGCGCGAAGGCCGGGGAGAGGCAAUGGAGUGCUCUGCCGGGGCGGCGAUUGAGUGAAGAGGGCGGUGGUGCAGAACUCCGGGGGUGACGCCAGCGAUCAUUGCGCUCUGUCGUCAGGGCGGCGUAGGAGCGGGUAGACCGAUGGUUGAGAUUUGGCGGAAAGCGGGCGUCGCCGUGCGGAAUAUUUGAUAGAAGCGUCCGGUUUAACGGCGCUAGAAUCGAGGACGCACAGGUGAGAGGACAGGCAGCUGCGGGCGCGGGCGAGAGCGCGGAACAACAGAUUGUCGGGCGACUUCUGACAGAGCGGGGGAAAGGAGCUGUCGCGGCCGCGGUCGGGGUUGGCGGUGGAGGAAUCGUCGUGUAGCGGAGAUCGGGCGGCGCGACUGUGGUGGAAGGGACGGAAAAGAUGGGCGACAUCGGGCUCUGGGGCCGGGAUCUGGCGGUGUGAUGAUGGGCGCGGGAGGCGAGGCUCUGCAGAAAGGGGUGCAGAGGGGCUUCCGCUGCCAUUGGGGAAGGGGGCGCGAGAACCCACUUGAUCGCUUGCCAGAGACAAAACUAAGCAGCGGGCGUCGGAGAAGACGAGCCACGCGGCAGGGAGACUCUGAAGCGGGCAUGCAACUCGAGUGCGACUGUCGGGGAGGAUCUGGGAAAAGAUCUUGCGGGUCCACCGGUGGAUAGAACGGACGUUUGAGGAUGCUUAGCAGGAUCCGACGGUGGGCUGAGAUCGCCGGGGUCGGGAGAGGAGCGAAACGGGAAGGGGUCGGGUCUUCCGGGGUCGGAACCAGGCGGAAAGCUGAGCACUCGGCGCGGGAAAAAGCAAGGUAGAUGACUAGGAUCAAGGGCUCUGAUCAAGACUAACUGGGAAGGUUUAGGGGUCGGUCGUUACAGAAGCCCUUAGCUACGAGUCUUGCUUUAAACCCUUCGAUCUUCCCUUUAGAGUCAUAUUUCAUCUUGUAGACCCAUUUGCAGCCUACUGUUUUGGCUCCUUGAGGAAUCUCUACUAAGUCCCAUACUCUAUUUGUUUCCAUGGAUUUUAACUCUUCUUCCAUGGCCUCGCACCACUUAUGCGAGUGCUCACUUUCUAUGGCCUUCUUAAAUGAGUUUGGGUCAUCCACCCUUCCCAUGUCGUGUACUUCUUCACUUGUGUACACAUACUCAUCGGAAAGGUUGGACUUCCUCUCACGUGUUGACCUUCUCAGAGGUUGUGGUGCUACUGCUUGUGGUGCUUCUUCUUGAGAAGAUUCCUGCUGAACUACCUCGGGCUCAUCAGUUGCCUCCCCUUGCAAUCCACCAGCAGGUUCUGCCACAUCUUCACUUUGAUGCUCACUUAUCACAGGUGCAUCUACAUUUUCGCUUAAGGUAGGUGUUACCUCCCCAUGCAUUACUGGAGGUUCCACAACCUGAGAUGUAACUGUGGUAUGUGGCAUAGGAGCAUAAUAAUCCUGUCUUAUGGGUAACGGCUCAUAAGUCCGAAUCUCCUCAAGAUCAAUUUUUCUAGCCUCAAUGCAUCCAGUUUCCUCUAAGAAGACAGCAUGCCUCAUCUCCACAAACUUAGUGGUACGCUUAGGACAAUAAAAGCGGUACCCCUUUGACUUUUCCAGAUAUCCAAUAAAGUAGCAACUUUCAGUCUUAGAGUCUAAUUUUCCAAGUUGUGGAUUGAAUAUCUUAGCUUCAGCUGCACAACCCCAGACAUGUAAGUAAUUCAUGUUGGGCUUCCUACCAGUCCAAAGCUCAUAGGGAGUCUUAGGGACUGACUUACUAGGAACAUGAUUAUUAAUGUGUGCGGCAGUCUUUAAAGCUUCCAUCCACAAACUCACUGGCAGCGUAGAGUUACUGAGCAUACUACGCACCAUGUUCAUAAGGGUACGAUUUCUUCUCUCAGCAACACCAUUUUGCUAAGGCUCACCAGGAGUGGAAUAUUGAGAUGCUAUACCAUUAUCUUGGAGAAAUCUGGCAAAGGGUCCCAGAACUUGUCCAUAUGUGGAGUGUUUUCCAUAAUACUCCCCUCCCCUAUCUAAUCUUACCACUUUGAUCUUUAAGUCAUGGUGAUUUUCUACUUCAGCUUUAAAGAUUUUAAACUUAUCAAGUGCUUCAGACUUUUCGCGUAUGGGGUAAAUGUAUCCAUAGCGGGAGAAAUCAUCAGUGAAGGCAAUGAAGUAAUUAUAACCAUCCACUGAUCUUACAUUAAAUGGACCGCAUAUAUCAGUAUGAAUUAUUUCUAAUAAUCCUGAACUGCGCUUAGCUCCAUCCUUCUUAAUCUGCUUUGCAAAUUUUCCCUUAAUGCAAUCAACACAUUGAUCUAAGUCAGAGAAAUCUAAUUUUGGAAGUAUCUCUUCUCUAAUGAGACGCUCCAUCCUCCCCUUCGAAAUGUGGCCUAAGCGGAAGUGCCACAAUUUCGAUGAAGUCUCAGUGGUUCUCUUAUGCUUAUGGUUGACAUCGCUUACAUUCAUCACAGAGAUAUUAACACUUAGAGGUAAUAAGUAAAGCUUGUCAUGCAAAGGGGCAUGACCAAUAAUCUGAUUAUUAAAACUUAUUACACACUGAUUGUUUCCAAAAUUGCAAGAAUAUCCAUCACAAUCUAAUGCUGAAACUGAAAUCAAGUUCCUCUUAAGUGACGGUACAUAAAGGACAUUACUUAAAUGAAGCAUAAAGUUAUUGCUAAGUUCUAUAGAGAGAUCUCCAAUAGCCUCAACUUCAGCUUCAAGCCCAUUUGCAACUUUAACGGUGCGAGUCUCCCUUCUUAUAGUCCGCGCGCCAUGUAAUUCCUGUGAGGAAUUAGUAACAUGAAUGGUAGCCCCAGAGUCAAUCCACCAUGAACUUAAUGGAAAAUUUACAUAAAAAGAUUCAUCGAUUAUAGAAAUCAAGUCAUCAUUACCAUUCUUGAUGCAUCAUUCCUUGAACUGAGCACAAUGCUUCUUAAUAUGUCCAUAAUCCUUGCAGUGAUGGCAUCUAGGACCCUUAGACGAGGAUGACCCAUCAUUCUUAGGAGGAGGAGGUUGAUUAGGUUUCUUAUUUUUCUUAAUUUUCUUAAAAGGGGAGAUUUGCUUAUUCUUGCCUUUAUUCACCUCAUGCCUGAUGAGGUUGGCAAAAUCGUCCUUCUCUUAUCUGAGCCUUUCUUCCUCCUAAGAACACUUCGCGAUGAGUGUGGGAAUAUCCCACUUCGCGUCACUACCAUUAUAGUUUAUCUUAAAGGGUUCAAACACUGAAGGCAACGAGAGCAUGAUGUGAUGAAGCAGUGUCUCAUCAUUAAGGGAGCAAUUCAAGUCGUUGAGCUUAUCCCUUAGGUCAACGAGACUCAUGAUAUUCUCCCUAACACUGCCUUGUCCAUCAUACUUGGUGUUCAUUAGCUUUGUCAGGAGGGUGCUAGCAUUAGCCUUACUGGAGCCUUUGAAGUACUCCUCAACCUUCUCCAUGAAAUGUUUGGCACUUUUGGGAUGUUUCUCAAUGGCUUCCCUUAUUGCCGGGUUUAUCGUCUGCUUCAUGAUCAUUAGGGCUACCCUGUCUGAUCGCUCCCACCGCUCCUUUUCCUUCUCAUAGGUAGCAGUGCGCUCAGGGAGGGUGGUGUCAUUAUCCCCUUGAGCAGUAGGAGCAACAGGAUACUUAUCCCUCAUGGAGUGGUCCCUGUCCAUGAUGCAAAGGACCAACCCAAUAUCAUUCUUCCAGUUGGUAAAGUUAUCUCCCCCAAGCUUCUGUAUGCCGUUAACAUAGCUUAUGACGCUUGAUAGAGUCAAGUCUGAGGGAAAUAAAAGAAUCUUAAUUAGUGAUGAUGACAAUAGUAAAUAACAAAUUCAAUUUGCGUUGGCUCGAUUAAAGACGUAAGCAACUUUGCAUCACUGUUGGGCAGAAGCAAAGACAUAAUUAAAAUGACAUGAAAUAAUUUUGCAUCACUGUUGGGCAGAAGCAAAAAUAUUGAAGAUAAUAAAAACACUUAGGCAUGUCAAAUUAAUAUCAACAUUGGUUAGAAAUUAAUUGCGUGCCUCAUAAAAUAGUUCUGAAAUAAAUGCCGCGUUGGUUCAAUUUAAUCAGAACUUCAUCACUUAGCGCAUUGGCCUGCCAGCGGCGCGGCCAACGGUCCGUGCGAGCAGCCUGAGUGCGCACGGCAGCCUGCGAGCGGAGCAAAAUGGCCCAGCGCGCGGCGGCGAAACAACGACCCUGCUGAAGGCCCCUGAAUCGGCACGCGCAAGCAGCGCACGAGAAAACAGCCCAGCUCGGACUAAACUUACGGCCCGGUCCGCACGCGGCUAACGUAUGCAGCGGCCCGCAUAAAAACUCAGCAACGAAAACGGCCCAACUUACGGCCUAAGGGGGUGUUUGGAUACGAGGUACUAAACUUUAGGAGUGUCACAUCGGAUGUUCGGACGUUAAUUAGGAGGAUCAAACAUGAGCUAAUUAUAAAACUAAUUGCAGAACCUCUAUACUAAUUAGCGAGAUGAAUCCAUUAAGCCUAAUUAAUCCAUGAUUAGCAACUGGUUACUGUAGCACCACAUUGUCAAAUCAUGGACUAAUUAGACUUAAUAGAUUCAUCUCGCGAAUUAGACUCCAUCUAUGCAAUUAGUUUAAUAAUUAGAUUAUAUUUAAUAUUUCUAAUUAGUAUCUAAACAUCCGAUGUGACGUGUCCUAAAGUUUAGGAGGUGUUUCCCAAACACCCCCUAAACUAGGUUCCCGCGCUGGCCUGGGUUCUAAGCCCAGCAGCCAAUGGUUGGGCUACCAUUUCAGCCCAGCUACCUCCCCGCGGCGAUCUUCACCGUUCCUGAGAUCCAACGGUGGCGCGCACGUCUCGGUCGAUCAAAACGCGCGCCGGCCGGCUCCAGGGAAACCCUAGGCCAUUCGCCUUCUCCCGUAGCCGCAGCCGUUCUUCUCCCGCAACACCUGCCUUCCUCCCCUCUUCUCCGUCUCCGCAUCUCCCCGAUCCCGAGCGCCCGCCGCCGGUGAGCCACGCCGCCACCUUGCCUCAGCGCCUCCGCGGGCCCUCCCGCCGGCAUGGGCGUGCGACCAAGUCGCGCGGCAUGCCGUCGGGGGCUCCGCUGGAGCGUUUUCUCCAAGGCAGCGGGUGCCUGAGCACACGGCGCGGCCGGCCGACGACCGGCGACGGCGAGCCUGAGCUGAAGCUCGCCGAGGUGUUUUCGGCUUCGGUUGCGGCGGAUCUGACGCCGCAGUUCGGUCACGGUGAGUAGACCAAGACGCACCCGUGCCCACGCCACGACCAAGUCAUGUGCGCGCUGAUGGCCGGUGCGGUUCGGCGGAGAGGCACGUCGGCGUCCAUGCGGACCGGCCAUGAUGCCACGCGCGGCCGUCGUGCUCUGAGGUAAGUGCUUAUCCUCGGGUUAGGGGGUUUAGGGUUAGGGUUCUGAUGGGGAUUUCGGCCUUUCUUAACUUGUGAUCUCAUCGAUUCGAUCUCCCCUCCUUCUAAAUGCUGAUGCGCGUCUUAAUUUUGACACUGUGAGUUCUAAUCGCGCGGGGUAAAGCUUAACAGUGAGAUUUUGGGGACGAAUCUAUAGACGAGUCAACCCUAAUCGCUUAAUUAGGACUCCAUUAGGAUCUGAUCUGCUAACUUGUGCAUGAAGUCGAACUUAAAUAACUUGAUUAACCUUGAUUCUAGGCAUGAUGUGUACCUAUAUUGACCUUAGGUGACUUAACAGAUCAAUAUUUAGACUAAAACUUGACCUGACAUGCACUAGAAAAAAGGGAUCUACUCGACUAGAGACACAUGCAAUCCUUACUCAGGGACUUAAAGGGCUUGGAUUCACAUCAAAAACUAGUCGGCGAGGCUAAUUGUGACUUAAACAUGAGCUUUAAAUUUAAACAUGAGCACAAUUAGGCACAAAAUCUCACUGACUAGUUCAAGAAAGGUACUGUGUAGAUCAAGAACAUGACUGACAGUACAACAACAACUCAAUUGCACACUAAGAUCCAAUCUGCACAGCCUUAGGGUUCAAUUCUAGAUGCGUAGGCUAACUAAUACCAAAUGUAGGGAACUACAUUACUCAGUCUUAAUCUAAACAGGAUCUUAUGCAUCUAAGAACAUGAACACCACUUAGAGUAGAGAUGAGACAUCCAACCGGCAGCCAUAGUUUGCGACGAUCCGGCCAUGAUUGUCGUGGACGAGGCCGGGAUGGGAUCUGCCGUAGGUGUGCUCGCCGUAGGUGUACAAGCUUGACGUAGAUCAUGCCUGCCUUCGGGCCUCCACCUCGUCUGUCCAGGGACGGCGAUGGUGGUGUUGCGGUAGCCUUAGGGCGAUUCCAGCGCUGCCACGAUCGGGUUGGCGUGUGGGGGGAGUUCUCUGGAGGUUUUGGUGCGUUAGCAGUCAACCCAAAACCCGCCGCCGGCUCCCCCUUUUCUUAUAGCGCAGGGUCGCUCGGGGCCACAACCAUAGUUCGGUUGCGCCUCCGAUCGAGGCGCGAGGUGGACCUUCACGAGGGAAACGUAGUCGGCGUCACCUUAUCCCACCUGUUUUUCCUCUCUGUUAGUUUUCCUUUUGACCACCUUCAAAAUAUUUCCAACAAAAAGGUCUUGAUUAUUGGAAGAACCCUACGCUACAAGAUUUAAGAAGCUGGAUAGAACUAUGGGUGAUCUGGAGAUGUUUGAGUGGUAUCUUAUUCCCACUUUAGACUAAAACGAAAAAAAUUGUGACAGAACUAUAAGUUUAAGGCCCUCUUUGAAAAAAAGAAAAAUCAUAAGAACUUUGAAGGAUCCCAUUCCUAUAAGAAAAUUUUCUAGGUAGCCUUUUGGAACGACGCACCCUGUUAAAUUCCUUAGGAUAUCUACGUAAUACAUGAAUCUAUAGAAAUUUAGAGAAAAACUAACAUGAAGUUGGACCUCAUGAAAAUUUUUACUUUGUGCCUAUCUCUCUCUUCAAAAUCUGAUGUUUAUUUCCUGCGUUGUAUCCACAUGCUCCUUUAAACAUUUUCUCGUGAUUUCUUUUUUUUUUUUGAAACGCACGAAGGAGAUGCUCACAUGCACGCGCACACCCCCAUGAAUACACAUACCCUACCUUUAUGAGCACUGACGAGAGAAUGAGCCGGCUGAUCUCAACUCGAGAUUGACGAAGCCUCUAUACGCCUCGUUGAUCUACCAUUGAAAAAAUAACGUUAGUUAAAUCCUAAAAUAAAUCGAAAAAAUAUAAGCACUGUACACAGAAGCAAGCUAUCAACGAGCAUCUCACCUAAUAUAGAAAGAACCUAAUAUAGAAAGAAUAACGCCAGUUAAAUUUUAUAUCUGGGUGGAUUAGAUUAGAAACUAAAGAUCCUACAUGAAUUCUAACUCAUUUUAUAUCUGGAUGGAUUAGAUUAGAAACUAAAGAUCCUACAUGAAUUCAAAAGUUAGAGAUCCACCAAAAAAAACAUAAUACUUUGUGUGUACAUACAUUUAUCUUCAAGAAGUGCUUGUAGUACAAUUUAUUUUCAAACCUUCCUAACUAGUAUGUCGUAAUAGAUAAUACUUUAUGAAAUUCCAGCGAAGAUCGACAGAAUUAUUAGUGCCCAUGUCUCCGGGCCACCGAUCUUCACGGGUUCUGUUGUGUAGCUGAUCCCGAAACAAAGCCAAGCCAAGAUGGUGGGAGAUGUUCGAUAAUGAACCCUGAACAUGUCAGAGUUGGUUGGCAGUGUUGUCAGAGUUGGUUGGCAGUGUGGUUACUACUGGUUAGCUGGCAGCUGGGUUUCCUUUCGAGUGAAACUCAUCGAGUUCAAGUUUCUAACUUAGGGGUGUUUUUAUUACGGUCACAUCGGAUGUCGAUGCUAAUUAAAAGGAUUAAAUAUGAGUUAAUUACAAAUCUAAUUGCACAGAUGGAGUUUAAUUCGCGAGACGAAUCUGUUAAGGCUAAUUAAUCCAUCACUAGCAAAUGGUUACUGUAGCACCACAUUGUCAAAUCAUAGACUAAUUAGGCUUAAUAGAUUCGUCUCACGAAUUAGAUUUCAUAUGUGCAGUUAGUUUUUGUAAUUAGAUUAUGUUUAAUAUUCCUAAUUAGUAUCAAACAUCCAAGGUGACAAGCGCUAAAGUUUAGCAUGAGGUUUCCAGACACCCUCUUAGUAGGAGUAUGUUUUUUUUUGCAACGAAAUGAGAGAUUUAUUGAAGCUUAUACAAAGGCAUUACAAACUAGCACACGGAUAAAGUCUGGAGCAUCAACAAAAUACAUACGACUCUACCUCAGUCUAGUUGCAAUGCAAGAUGUGCCAACUCGUGCAUGUGGCUAUGUCCGCCGUCCGCGGCACGAUCGUGUAUCGACGGGUGAUUCUCGACAUCUGCUGUGUAUGUGUGCGGUGAUCUGCCGAAGGCAGACGUUAGCCUUUAAAAAGAGGGGAGUGUAAUACCCAGCUCAAUAUACAACUGUAGUUGAAAUUGGUUGUCCUUUCAAAUAUAUAUCUUCAGAUUAAUCUUUUUACAUGAAAUGAGAACAAAAGUAUAAGAUGAGUGCUAUACAUUUGCGGGUUCCUUUCACAUAAGGAGCUCACAGGUUUUGAAGCUGAACUAAUCGAUAUAGUUUGACGAAGUAAAUUGAGCCUAAAUUGUAUUCAGGAGAUAAACCGACAAAGUGGCAUGGUAUGUAGUUAUAUAUUUUUUUCCAAAUAAAAUAAUAGAUUACUUUCAUUCACCACGUUUUUUUCGAACCACAAUAAAGACAAAACGCUCACAUACGUACGUGCACACUUAACUCAUAAAUAUACUUAACUCAUAAAUAUACGCACGCAACUUUAUUAUGGAGCCGGCAGAUCCUUUAGAUUGAUGAACCACCACUGGUGCCUUGUCAGGCACGUUGCUUACGUGAGUAAAUGUGAGCACCCAUGCUAAAUCGAGGACUCAAAUCUCGAUAAGUAAACUCAAAUCUCGAUAAGUAAAUUCCACCACAAGAGUGCUAGAAGCACUAGGCUCACAAGUGUUCAUACCAUAAGUAGGGCUAUGAACAACCAAAAGCCUAGAAGUAUAAGCUCGCUGCUUUUGUAUUGCACGGUGAUAGCAAAAAGUCUCUUGAUGCCCAUCUUUCUCACAAUAAGAGCAAUGGUACAAAGGCCUAUUUGGAGGUACGGUUCGAGAGGACAAAUUACCAUUCUCAUUCAAGUGAGAUGUUUCUUGGGAUUUAGAGCAAGAAGUAUCAACAACACCAUUUGAUUUGGUACCCACAUUUGGAUCACACGUGCCAUGGGAAAGGCUACGUGGCUUCCUAAAAGCUUUGGCACGCACACAUCUCUCAUGCUUGACACGGCAAAAGCUCGGUGUGCACAUCAUUCUUACAAAAGGUGCAAUGGAACUUCAGUUUGGGAGUAUGAGUUCCAAAAAUGUGAGAAGCACCCUUGCCACUGAAUUGCCUUGGGCAAUACCGGAAGAAGCAAUAAGCUGAGGAGUAGCUAUAAAAGAGCUAUUCAAAGCACUAGCACAGGUGCUAUCGUCCAAAGACUCACGCUCAACACAAGAAGCCAACUCCGAUAGGGAAGAAGCAAUUAUGGAAGCACUAACAUCGGAGUGACAAGAAUUACGAAAAUCAAAAGACUUAGCACAAAGACUCUUGCAUCUUGUGGCCAAAAUCUUAUUUUCAUGUUUAAAGCAAUCACAACUACCACAUGGAGCAUUUCUCAAAUUAUCCAUCUCCUUUUCAAUGCACUUAGCAUAUGUGGUAUGCAAAAAUUAUUUUCUUUCUCAAAAUUAGCACUCAUCUCAUUGCGCUCAACCAACUUGGCGCUCAUAUCAUCGCGCAUUUGCUUCAAAGCCAAAACUUCACUUUCCAAUUCAAUGCAUGAUGUGCAAAUAAGUUCGCAUGAACAAUCAUCAUCAUUCACAUCAAGCACGGCAUUAUUAUCACAAGAAGUAAGGCAAGCAUCAUCAUCUAGAACCAAAGAGCACAUGCUACAAGGCAUAGACUUCAUUUUACAAAUUUUAGCUUUAACAUGCUCAAGUUGUUCAACACAUGUGGUGUAAGUCAAUUUUAAUUCAUUAUUUCAGCAAGCAAAUACUCACAUGAAACCCAUGGUAAAGAAGCAUUAGAUUUCAAUAGAGCAAUUUCAUCUCUAGCCUUAUCAAGAUCAUUAUUCAAACCAACACAUGAAUUACAUGGCAUAGAGGCAUUGCAAUUCAACAAGUCAUUUUCAGAUUUUAAGCAAGCAAGAGAAGACUUCAAUUCACCGUUCAUUUUAAGUAAGCUAUCACAAGAAUUGCAAGGAUUCAGAGCACGUGAUUUCCAAUGAGCAAUUCCACAUUUCAACUUAGCAAGAGAACAUUUCAUCAUCUCAUUCUUCCUAUGCAAAGCAUCACAAAGCUCAAUGUUUCUCUCAUUUUCAUCUUCACAAUCAUCAACACGAUUGCAUAAAAUCAUGAUGCAUUUGGCAAGCGUACCUUGGCUCAUGUCUCUUAGCCUGCGGUAGAACUCACCCUUCGUGAUCACCGUCUUGGUAGUUCUCGAGGAGAUCUAUCACCGCCUCCACUUCUGAUUCCAACUCAAUCUCCAAACUCCUACUACCUGAAGAUAAUGAAACACAAGAAGAAGAGCUUGGUGCCAUAGCUCAAAGCACCAGUUAGGAUUAGUCGAAAGCAAGCUCAAAACUCAAAAAACCAAAUCCGCAAGAAAAAACGCCCUUUACCUUAUCGUCCUAUGGAUCACAAAGCCGAUUAAGAUGGUGUGAUCCUUAACCAAGCUUUGAUACCAAUUGAAGGACUGGGAUGGGCGACCACAGAGGGGUGAAUGGGAGCCUUUAAAAAAAUUCUCUCCAAGAACAAAAUAUAUAUCCCGUUUGCCACCCUAAAUGCACCUCGCUCCUAAUCGCCAAGAUGACACAAAUCAACUCAUGACAAGCUUACCGUAUGAACGAUUAGAAACGUUCAAAGCGUAGCGGAAUCAAAGACAAAAGCUUAAAGGGGCUACUCACAAAUUACUGGCUAAGAAAAGAGCUCUAGUUAACCAUGUGAAAAUCCAUAUAAAAUAGCUAAGCUGCAGCUACUGUAACACUGAUGAGCUACUGACCUAUUGCCACGAAACAACCAGGUAAUACAUCGGCCAAGAACUGAUUAGCUAUUUAGCUCACUGUUCAUGCAUAUAAACAAAGCUAUUGUGCUAUCUUAACAUGCAAAACAGAGCACUAACUGAAAACUAAUCAGAGCUAUAGGUAAUACUUUAACCAAGAACUAUGAUCAGCCAAUUCUAGUACUCGAUCUCAGCACAUGCAUGUAAUGAUUGUAAUGAUUGUUUGACGGUAGCAAGGAAGGGACAUCCAAGAUUAACUGCUCACCUGAUGCAUGUCGUUGCGGCUGUCCGCCUGGGCAGGCCUGGUGCCGUCGGGCUGGUGGAUGCUCUGGCCUCCGUCCCCUGCGCGAGCUGGGCCGCCUAGUGCGUCGCUGGGUGCUCGGCCGCUGGCCACCAGCUGGGCUGCCUUGGCACGAGCGUGUCGCGUGUGGCAGGUCGCUUCGGCCUGUACUGCGUCGGGCCUGCUGCCGCCGGCCUGCAGCUACGUCGCCUGGCCCGCGAGGUGCAGCCGCUGGCCUGCGUCGCACGUGCUGGAUGCCGCUGCAGCGCGUCGCCUCUCCCUUUGCGUGAACCCAAAGCUCACGAACAGAAACAAGAACAGAAGAACACCAAGAAAAACGCCCAACUUGAAACUCGAGCCACGGAUCCAAACCAAACUCGAGCCACAGUAGCACCUCCUCAAGGACUAACAGAUCUAGGAAGAAGAUUCAAAAAGCUCAUGUAUUCACAGCGGAUUUCGAAGAAAACCGAACACCCUUCCCAAAGCUCGGUUUCGGGAAAAACUUCAAAUCCGGGUGCUCGGUGAGGGAUUUGUUAGACAAUCACACUAGCCUUGUUCACACACGUCCUAGCACCGAUUUGCCCCAAAAAAUCUGUCCCAAAUCGCAGCCAAAUCGGACGAACGAAAAUUCAAAAAAAAUUCACCCGAAAAUACCGAAAAACAAAAAUGCUCGGGAAAGAUGAAGUAACUUUACUUCUCCACCAUGAUCAGUUACAAGCCAUUUCUAAGCACAAUCAAAAUUAGGAUGGUAAAAACAUCAACACAAAGAUCUACUCAUCUUCUAAAGACUCUCAAACAUAAAAUAAGAAGUCCACCACCUAACAACCUGUGAGUAUAAUCUGUAGCCGGCCAUAAAGUAGACUAUUAUGUAGCCAGUCCACGUGUCGUGCUAGGAUUAGCCAGUAGCGGUCCCCUUUCCCACCCGCGUGACCCGCGCCUCCAGGCUUCAGCCGAGCAUGCACAACGUAGAGCCAGUAGCUAAGGGCAGUCCUAAUGGGAGAAACCAACCUAGUUUCCAUAGUUUAGGAUAUUGUAUCAAGAAAUCAUCCUUCACAAUGUAACACUUUUUAUCUAGAGUCUAAACAAAAAUCCAACCAAUCAUUCUUCCUUCUAGUACCAGAUCCUUUGUGCAUCAUGUAAAGGAGCUCGAGUGAUGGGUAGCAGCGGUGCAAGCGUAAAGGAUCCGGCAGUAAGUAAGAAGAAACUACUUGGGUCUCCCCAAUACAGAUUUGCUGGUUUCUUGGCUCAUUGGUGCGCGUGAGGACUUGGUUUCCUCUCUAAGAAAUGGUUUCUCUCUCUCCAUAAUAAAUCUACUGCCACAUCAGCAAAUUGCUUAGUUGGCAUGAUAAUUAAGAGGGAUAGAAACUAUCAUCAAUGUCCCAUUGGGACUGCCCUAAUUACAAGCGAGCCGAGCGCGCUGCUCAUUUACUGCCUCGUCCGUGAUCAGCGGCUGGAAAAGGGAAGGCUGGAUUAACAGGUAGUAACUCCCAUUUCGAUGACGCCGGGCAAAGCAACCAGUGCUGCAGGUGAGUCCGUAAUUUUCCAUGCAGUGGGCUUCAUCAAUUGGAUGUCUAAGUCUUGUGGAUGAGUUGAGCUGUGUGGAGGAACCAAUCACUAUAAUGAAGAGACCGAUUUUGUGGUGACAUAGUUAAGUUAAUCCCAAUGUUUGAGAUGAUAAAGUAGACUAUUCACUAUAAUCCAUAUGUAGACUACGCUGUGACGUUUUUGACUACAACUCGAUUGUAUGUUACUAUAAUAUAAUGGUGAGUUACCACAAUACAGAUUGAAACAAUCACUUUUUUUUCAAAUCGGAUCAACUACAAAUGACAAUACAGAUUCAAUACUUGUAAUAUAACAUGACACUAUUCCACGUUGCUGAAUAUGAUACAAAGUGCUUGCUUCCACAUUCUUGAACUCGAUUAUAUGUUGCUUGCUUUCCCUAGCUCCAACUGAAUCUGAUCAUGCAGUUAGGCACCAGGACGGUGGGGAGAAGGCACAAGGGAGCUGAAGCGCUAUCUAUCAAUCAGUGCUGAGUAGGCUGCUCUCUAAAGUAAGUGCCCAGAUGCUACCCAGAGAUUCCGACGAGGCAUCAUCACCUGUAGUCAUUUAAAAAUAAGAACAGAGUAAAUAACAUAUGAUCAUUUAGCAAGCCUGAAAAGCUGGAACUGUACAUAUUGAAUUAAAAACAGGCAUGCUGGAAAGAGCCACAGUUAUGUCCAAAUUUAUAAUAUGACAGCAGAGAACUGGAGAUACUAAGGAAACAAAUUAUGGUAAUUAUGACUGUGGUAACAAAAUUAUCAGAGACAGAGCUCUGCCUUGCCACUGACAUAGUGAUAAGAGAUAAGCAUUAUUUCUGUGUAAUGUGAAUACACUAAUCCAUUGAUAAUAAGUGGACUGGAACUAUAAGGAAAUUUGCUAGCAGGAAAUUGUUAGUCGGAAACAAGUUAGUUGAGUGGCAGUACGGAUAAAUAGACAGUAGGUUAUAUGUUUAUUUUGAUGCAAAUAAUCAGCCAUGUAGAUAAAGAUCAAGGCCUGUGUGCCCCAAGUCCAGCAAGAACCUUCUUAUAUUGUAAAUACUUGUUGAAGUAACGCAUGCAAACUAUGGUAAAUGUUCGGGCAGUUACGAGGAUCCAUCAGGAGGGUGAGUUACCACAUUUCAGUGUCAAGAAUUUUGUAAAUUGUUAUGUGACUUUUAUGCCCUUGUAUGUGGUUAAUCUUUUACGAGAAUUUUAUAAAUGACUCAGUAGAAUCUGUCCUUUAUGAGAUUUACUAGAAUCCAUGGCUGGUUAUAACCUUGUAAAUCCAACAACCAUGACUUACCAGAAUCUGUUAACAGGGAAUUUUGUUACUGAUUUAUUAGAAUAUUUGCCCCUUGUCUGCAAUUUACAAUAAUCUUAUAUUUUAGUCAGCUGACUUAUGAUUUAUUGAGAUCUUACCACCUCAAAAUUUUAAAUAUGAUAGAUGAAUUGUGAAAUACACACAAUGGGUAUAAUCAGUAGAGUAAACGAGGGAAGCAGAAUUACGUGAUGCUUACCUCAGGGUCUCUACGCUGGCUUGGAUUAGGAUGGACUGGUCACCCAAAACCGAAGAACUCCUGCAAUAACACCGGCAGCAAUACAAGUACGGAUGGCACAGGUGCGAUGCUGCUUCAUUAUCACAAACAUGGUGGGCUGGAUUUGAUCAGAAAUUCAGAAUUAAAAAAGAACGAUAUAAUUAUGUGAUGUACAGGAGCUUUAUAAAUAAUUACUUGAUCUAAGUGAUUUACGAUAAUUCUGUAUUUAAUUUAAAAGGUGUGCACCAACAAUGUGGUAACUCUGUUUAUACGAAUACCAUCAAAAAAAUAUCAUUUUUACCACAACUUCAUCACGUUACCUGACCCAUUAGGUAUUCUCUUACUCAUCAUCACUAAUUUUAUUUUUUAGUAUAACAGUAACCACCAGAAGUGAAUUCAUCUAGCACAUCUACAGGUUUUCUGGGAGUGCAAGGCAGCAACAACUAGUCAAUCCAGGUGAAAAUCGAAAAAAUGAAGCAUGUAUAACAAUGAUGCAUAGUAGGACUUACUGCAUGAGAAAUGUCUGAAAAUUUACUAUAUAUCAGGAUCAGGAGGUACCAUAAUUUUUUGUCAAGCUGUUCCAGGAAACCAUUUACUGUGUAAUGAUGAGAUCAAUUUACCACAAAAUGCUACCUGAUAAUACUCAACUGUAGGUAUCAGGUAAAAGUAUCAGGUGGCUGCUACAUUUACAAGUUCUUUCAUUCAUUAUCAGGGUCCAUGUUACAACAAAAGGUCAAUUUUUGAAUUGAGUCCGUUGUACAGUUAAAAUUGUAACAAUCUCGCUCUGCCAGAUUGGCUCAAUUACAAAUGACAGUCUAUGAGCAAAUUAUCUCAUGAGCACUAAAAAAUAGUUUUAGCUCUGAUCCUUUACUACAAUACUGAAAACCAGAAUAGGCCAAACAUCCUUUAAGUCAAUUAACCAUUAUGAAUCCAGGCAUUUUACUGAGAUAUGAAAUCAUUCACAUAUUUGGCAUCAUACUGUUCAUAGGCCCCAUUAAACCACGCAGCAGUGUGAACAUACAGGUAGGUACUUAAAUCACGACUAUUGCAACAAAGCAAUGAUUAAUAGGGAAUCACGAACCUUAAGAUUGAUGGCUGGAUGCAGCUAUGCGCGGCGCUGCUCACCUCAGGAUCUUGUCUCCUCUACGGGCAUGGGGAGUGACGGCCCACCGUACACCAAGAAUGACGGCCGCUGCGGAGGGAUGUCGACAACCAACGCAGGGGAACGGAUUCGAGAUUGGAGUUCAGGUUGGAAUGAGGUCGCAUCUGCGGGAGGAUUUGGGGGGUUCCUAGUUGCGAUUGAAGGCAGGGAGUACCCUCCUCUGGGAUGCAGUCAAACAAUUAAAAUGGGAACGAAUCAAACAAAAACAAAUUAGUACGGACGGAUUUCUUCUCAACCAUACCUGGAUCGACGCCGUCGCAAGAGGGAAAGGGCCGCCGCCGAGAGUCGACGCCAGGCCGCCGCCGGACAGCCGUGGCCCCCACCGAUGGGACCCACCUCCACACAUGGAGAUCCAUGGGUGCAGUCUUGUUACACGCGAGGGGAUGGAGCGUGGAAGCCAUGGCGGACGGUGAGCGGAGGUCGCCGGCUGCUCCAUACGGUGUCGCCGAUUCGGGAGGGUGCUACUGUCGUGAGAGCGGAAGGGCCGCCGCUGGGUCGCUGCAAGGCCGUCGCUGGGCUACAGCGACGGGGGACGGGCCGGGGAAGCCGGGAAGGGGCAGCGGAGGCCGUCGUGUGUGCGUGCGUGCGGGAUGGCCUGACGGGGAACGAGAUAAAUUUUGGGCGGCGGCGGCGGCGAAGAUUGCGGACGGAGUCAGAUGACGAGCUGGAUGAGCCUCACGUCUCGUUUACUCCCGGCUCGUGCUCGACUCGCUUCGCUAGGCUCGCCGGCUCGCUGACUCGUAACCGUGGAAGUGGGGCGGAUGAGCUCGGACGGUUGGAUGAUGCGGCUACAAAAUAACCUAUACUAUGGCUGGCUACAAAGAAACAGUUCUCUCUUUCUAUCUUUACCUAUUAUUAAAGCAAGUAACAUUUCUGCCUGACUUUUCGUACGUCGUGGUAAUUUUGCAAAAAAACCCCUCAAGUUUUCAGAUUAAAGCAAGUAACGUUUCUGCCUAGCUUUUCGUACGUCGUGGUAAUUUUGGGAAAAAACCCCUCAAGUUUUCAGUAAUCAACCCGCAGUCCAAUUUUGAAGAGAGGGGAGCUCGGGUGGAAAACGAAGGAAAGAGAGGGGGUUAAAUGAGAAAAACCUCUCCUUUCAGAGGGGGGACGGUCACCACCGUCGGAGCCUUGGUUUGUCAUCCCCCACCCUCCCUCCGCCGCCCUCCUCCCGCCUCCAACACCAUCCUCGUAUGGCACGACCGCCCCCUCGCCGACGUGCUCGUGCGGCAUGACCGCCCCCUCGCCGACCUGGUCUGCGCUGGCGGUGGCGGACUCGACAGGCGACAUGGGGCACCCAAGCUGAGGUCCAAGCCGAGGUAGGAUCGCUUACCUAGAAGCAGUCCAGGUCCAGAUGAGCGGAUCUCCGCUCCGCCCCCAGUCCAGCGAGUAGAACGGAGGAGAACGACGACCCACCAGGUAUAAUCCCACCUCGCCAAUUUAUAACCAAAAUUGCGGGCUUAAAACCUGAGAUGCGGAUGCGGGUAAUGUCACCUGAGGAACGAAAGAGUGAGGGAUUGGACUAAGUGAUGGAUUCGGCAAAAUCUUCGGGGGAAGCUGUUGUCGCGGCACAGAAGGUUGUGGAGAUGUGCUCGAGGCGGAGGUGGAUGACGGAGGCGCGGAAGGGAGGGUGGCGGCGACAGCUCAAGUUUUCGGUAAUCAACCCGCAAUCCUAUUCCCUUCCGCGGAGACGGGCGCGGGCAUCCAGACGGUCGCGUCUUCCGUGGAGAUGGGCGGUGGCCGCACCGACUGCGGAGACGAGCGGGGGGCAUCCAGACGGCCGCGUCCUGCUUGAUGGCGUGGACGGCGGUGGUGAGCGGGCGGCGGAAGCGGCGGCGUAGGAUGGGGAGCCCCCGCAUCGGGAGCGGGGAGGCCGUGGAGCAGGAGUGGCGCCGACUGCUCCUCGUCAAGAUUCUCGUGACGGAUUUGUUUCCUCCCCUUUUCAGAGGAUGAGGCCGAGACGUGAAGCACUUUGCAGGCCUUGCACGGCCGCGGACACGCGUCUCCGGCUAUUCCAGAUGGACCUUUCUGGAUCCUGCUUCCGGCCGGCCGGCGGUCGAGGGCACAUGCGGUGUCUUCCACCUAGCGUCCCCGUUCAUACUGUGCAAGCAGAGGGACCCAGAGGCAAUUCUUCCUUCUGAAUAAUUAAUCACCCCAUCGAUGCAAAUCACAGUCCAGUAUCUAUCCCGUUGCUCGAGUAGGUAAUCCUUGGAUUAGAUUUGCUGAUGAUUCUGCUAUUGCAGAACGAGCUCCUGGAACCGGCGGUGAAGGGCACGCUCAACGUCCUGCGCGCCAUGAAAAGAUUUGCGGGGUCGGCCAGCUCCUGUAUUCUGAUCUGUGUUAUGGUUGUGGUUGAGGCCUGUGCUGACUUUAUUCCUUGAGCCUGCAGUUUUGGUAUAGCGUAUUGGACUUCGCUGGGAAGGAGGGAUUGCAAUGGUUGUGCUCAAUCCAGGGAUGGUACUGGGUCCAAUGUUAGCACCAUCAGUUAACACCAGUCUCCAACUACUUCUGCAACUUUUGGCAGGUCAGUCACAUCAUUAGACGCUAGGAGCCAUGUGGUACUUUUAUCUUCUGAUGAAUUGGAACUUUGCAACGAGUACAAAGUAUGGGAUGGUACUGGGUACAAAGUACCCAGGCGAAGAAGCUUGAUCUGGAUGACAUCUACAUUGGCUGCGUCGAUGUGAGGGAGCCAUCAUCAGAAGUGCAAGGUGACUGUUGACUAAUAGUAAUAGCAUGUCACCUAUAUUAGUACUCUGAACUAUGGUUAUGUGAUCUUUUGGUACCGAAAGACUUGGCUAUUUAAAGGAUGCUUUCAUGAUCUCAACAGAAGCUCCUUUUGUAUAUGCUUGUAAGUGUAGAAACUGAAAUGUAGAAUCUUCUUGAUGAAGUGUCAGGCAAAUAGAAAAUAUCUAGCUCCCUUAGGUCCUUCGUUGUAUUGGUUAGGUUCUUAUAGUCGCCAUGCCAUGGUUCUUGAGCAGGUCCAAGAGGAGGCAACAUUCCUCUGGAAGAAGCUUGGGGAAUCUUGAUCCAGUUGAUGAAGACUUUCCAUUGGAGCAAGAAGUGAGGGACUUCAAGAUGAGAAGGCUUUCAGAUUUUGGGCCAACUCCUGGUUGGUUGUGUUUCUUUCCUUUAUUCGCUAUGUUAUAUAUAAACAUGUGAAACUGUUUUCUCGAGCACGUGAAACUGUUUGAACCAACAUAGAAUUAAACAGUUAACAUUCGUUUCAGACCUUCUAGAAGAAACCGAACCGACUCAAACCCCAUAUGAGAAGCGCUUUGAUCCUAUCGACAAGGUCACAGAAUCAAUCCAGUCGUAAGUAGCCUGGGUAACUUAGUUUGUUGAAGUGAAGUACCCCCGUCCUCCGACAUCGACGCCAUCAUCCUUCGUCGACAUCCCGCUGCCGUUCCGUCCAGAUCCGGGGCCUGCGGCCGUUUCCCACCUUCGCCCUCCACCCUUGGUCCCGGGGUCGGAUGCGCCCAACCCCUUGAGGGUGGAACUCCGCCUCGCCCGACCCCUGGUCCCGGGGUCGGAUGCGCCCGACCCCUUGAGGGUGGAACUCCGCCUCGCCCGACCCUUGGUCCCGGGGUCGGAUGCGCCCGACCCCUUGGUCCCGGGGUCGGAUGCGCCCGACUCCUUGAGGGUGGAACUCCGCCUCGCCCGACCCUGAGUCCUGGGGUCGGGAGUGUCCGACCCCUGAGCGGAACAUUGGAGUAGUCCGAGGCGAAGUCGAAUCCGACGUGUAGUCAAACUCGAACUGGUUGACUUUGAACAUCUCCUCCUCCUCCACUUCCAGGAGGAGGCUCCCGCCCGUCAAGAAUGGCCACGGCAGCGCAGGUCUUGCAAAUGAAAAUUCUUGUUCAAAGUUCAAAAAUGGUACGAACAAACGUAUAAUAACGUGACAGCAAGUAAUAACCCGUAGCAACGCACGGGCAUUUCUGCUAGUGUGUAUAUAUAUAUAUAUAUAUGUAUUUAGCAAAUGUUCAAAUACUCUUACAUAAAGCAUACAACUCAAAUAUUUCAUAUGAGUAAAACCGUCCAACUUUUUAUCAGGACAUCGAACGGACCCGGCAUCUAAACGACUUCGCUUCUCCUCAACGCAAGCUUCGUGAUGGUGCCACGUGUCCUCUGAUUCGACGUCGUCCGGCCGCACCGGACUCGCCCCCCGAUUUUGAGGCGAAACCGGUCAAACCCUCUCGCACACCCCGCUAGGCGUGACUCACCCCGAUUUUGAGGUCAAACCGGUCAAACCCUCUCGCAUGCCGUGCAUGACGUGACUCACCAAUAUAGACGCGUGUCCGACCUUCGCCAAGCCUUCGACACCUCCAAAUUUUUCGCUCCUGAUCCCGGACCGCCUACUCGACUCGCCUAAAUCCUGCUUGACUCAACCGACGCCAUCUUCAUCCCAGUGUACUCUUGCUCUUCCGUGCACUAUGUGGAUCGCUCAUGACUCCGCUCGGAUUUCUCAGGUCCCACGGUUCAAGUCUACUCGUGUCCACCCUUCAUAGCCCCAGUAUAUUAGCAUGAACCUUUCGCUUGACCUUCAACUCAUGCCGCCGACCGCCAUAUCGCAUUCAUCACCUGCACAUCACAAGCCAAGAGACACAACACACAAGAUAUGUUUUACACAAACACUACAACACAACACACACCUCCGGUUAGCUGUUAGCAUAAUUAAGCACAUAUGGAAUAUGGACUCAAUCGGUAAAAUUUCAAAUCAUCCAGUUAAUCACUUAUCACAAAUAGACAGAGGGCAUGUCACUUGAUCUCUCACUUCCGCUGGACCUUGGCUUCUCCAAGUUGAGCUACCUCGCCGUCUUCGACAACAAGCUCACGGGGCACCUCCCAUCAUCCAUAGGUCACCUGCAAGACUCCCUCUUCGAGGUGCUCCUCCUCAACAAUCAGCUCUCGGACUGCCUUCCCCACGAGCUCGGCAUGCUGAACAAAGCAGCUGUGAUCGACGCCGGCAUGAACCAGCUCACCGGCCCGAUACCAGCAUCCUUCUCGUGCAUCAGCAGCGUCGAGCAGCUCAACCUGGGCGGGAACCGCCUCUACGGCCAGGUACCAGACGUGCUUUGCAAGCUCGCUGGCCCGGCCGGCCGCCUCGCCAACCUCACGCUAGCUGUCCGGCAACUAUUUCAGAUCGGUGGCGCCGGCAUGCGCGGCGCUAAUCAAAGACGGCGUGCUGGACGUGAAGAACAACUGCAUUCCAGGCCUCGCCAACCAGAGGCGCCCGGCGGAGUGCGCGGCGUUCCAGAGCCAGCCCAAGACGUGCCCGGCGGCGACCACUCAGGUGGCAUGUCCCGCCGCACCUGCCGCCGCGCCGGGGGAGAGGAAUGUCAUCAGGGACUACUCCGGCUACGUGACGUACGCUACUCUGCAUGAUUGAGGCGCCACGGGAUGCACUAGGAGACAUAGUGGAUGCCUAGGUGGUAUUUUGGCUUUUUGCCCUUGUAUCCUUGUGUUUUUAAUUAGUGUGUUGGUGUGCAUGUGUGUUGUUCGUGUUCCUAUGUAUGUGCGGCUGUCACGUCUAGAUUUCACUUCUUGUACUACCAAAUCUAUUGUUAAAAUAAAAAAAGGAAAAUCUAUAUUUUUCUCGAGUGUUUUGGAGCUUGCCAAAAAUAGAUUUUCAAGUCUGCAAGUUGGUGCUGCGAUUGGCCAAGAUCGUCUUCCCAACUCCUUUGAGGACUCCAGCGAGUUUAGGAUUUGGGACGAGUCCUUGCAUCGGCACACAAUUACCUAUGGGUGUGCAGGUGUACCUUUGUUCGAUGUGUUUCUCAUUCCCAACGACUGGAUGAACAAGAGCACCGGUCCCAGUUCCCCACAGUCACCGUCAUCCCAGCCUCGUUUGCGUGCCUGUGCAACGUCGAUCGAGCAGCACCUGGCUGGAAAACGCCCUUUACUGUGACGAGUUAGAUUGCGGGCGGGCUGGACAUGGACUUGCGCAUGACUAGCCAGCGGACCUCUCGCUGUUGAGCAACUACAUCACGUUGGUAAGGCCAAUGCAAAGUGCUCUAGCUCUGCGCUGAGCCUCUGAUGAAGAAGGGGUAUGGCAGUGCAGUGAAUCAAGAAGAACAACAGCCUCAUGCGUUCCGAGCUGCAAUCAGAGGCGGCCCGAUCUGGAGCGCGUGUGUCGUUCAUGCGACAGCCGAUCGAGUAGGUGCCCCCCGAGCCCCGACGUACGUGCCAUGCGGCGUCGCAUGUGUCACGGACGGGGGCUGGUCGUGCGGAGGUAGGUACGUAGGGCUCGUCCACAUUCCAGCUGCGCUACGUGACAUAUGCAACUCCGGAUGAGUGAGAUCCACAGGGAUUCAAGGAAAUCAAGGACCGCGCGGCGCGCGUCUUGGUCGCAUUUGCUGUGCUCUCGCUCUCAUGUAAGUGCCGUCGGUGCUUUUGUUGGUUCCACUGCAUGCCCGGACCCGUUUUUGGCUGUUCUGCGGGCCGGGUUGAUCUCGCCGGCAAGACCCAUGUGAUGAAUUCCUACCUGUUUCUUACACUAGUUCACUUUGAUAUUGUUUGAAAUCAAACUUUGUUUAAUUGACUUUUGAUUGGGUUUAUAGCUAGGAAAAAUUAUGAUAACAUCUACAAUACAAAAUAAAUUUACUAUCAAGAAUACGGAUUAAUGACACAAUGUGUAUUUGUAGAUGUUGAUACUUUUCUAUAAAUUUGGUAAAAGUUAUAAAUAUUUAGCUUCGAAUGAUACCAAAAUUUACUAUAAUAUAUCAAAGGAGUAUCCUGGCAAUUUCUUGUGUUUUAUUUGGUUCCAACAAGAUUGGCCAGACAACUCUAACAUAAAACAAGUAUUAUUUGAGUAUGUGGACAGCUCUAGCAGUUAGGUUCUUUCUGAUAGAACUUGCCUACCCGAUUUCAAUUACUUAUUUUGUACAAUUAUUCUUUAAAUAGUAUGCGACAUGCCUGUUGAGGUCUUCAGGACCGUUGGUCUCCAUUAGGGGCAAUUGGAAGGAAGCGCCUAGGCUAGACUUUGAAUCUUCAGCUCAUUGGUUGUCCCGGGCUACAUGAUAUUCAGAUUGAAUAUCACCUGUAAGGCUUUCCUCUCGGUCCUGCCUAGUCUCAGGGAAAAUACCUCUGUUAUCAUUGGUAAUGGGGCUUUCACCUCUCCUUCUGGCAUGAUCACUGGAUUGGGUCUGCGCCUCUUGCGGCGGCAAUGCCAGCUCUGUUCUCCCAUGCUCAGCGACCCAACAUCUCCAUUCAAAGGGUGGCUGCGAUGGGCAGUGGGAUCUCCAGCUUACCGGUCACCGGCUGUCCUCCAUUACGCAACAGGAAGCCUCCUCUCUCAUGGUGGCUCUGCAAACUGUUCAGCUGCUGCCACUGGCUCGCGAUCGGCGACUCAUAUACUCCACCAGGCUGCUCUAUCGAGCCUUGUCACCGUCGGUGCCGCCGGAAACAUUCCUGCCACUCAUCUGGGACAGCUUUGCUCCAAGCAGUUCCUCUGGCUAGCUCAUCCACCGCCAUCGACUCUCGACUGCAGCACUGCUCUUCUACCGGAAUAUCAUCGACUCUGAAGCUUGUCUACACUGUGGGCAGCAAGAAGACCUGCACUCUUCCUUGGCUGCACAAAGGCCUCUGCUUGCUGGACGCUACUGGGAGCAGGCGACCUCAUGUCUCACUCCGUUGAGCAACUAUGGCAGCAGCACCUCCUGGCAAUGUUGGAUGCCCCUAUCAGGUCAACCAUCAUCACCUGCAUUCUUUGGAACAUAUGGAAAGCCCGAAACGCGCGCGUCUUUGAGCACACCGACAUCAACCCACCAGGGAUCCUCCGUCGCACGGCCGCGGACCUGCAGCUUUGGUCUCACCGUGUGCCACCAUCAUCACUACGAUUCUGGAGCGACAAGAUUGUGCAUGUAAUAGAAUGAUUUGUGUUGUAAUCCCUCACCCUUCUUACCUUCCCAAAUCCCCUGUAUGCCUCAAACUUUUGCAUACUUAAUAUAAAUGUUGAGGUCGGUGAUUUGCCUGCCGUAGGUUCCUAAAAAAAAUAUUCAGAUUGAACUACUAGGUCGCCUUCACAUGACGGCCUCCUUCUCCCUCUAAAGGCCAGUAGCCCAGUAAUGACAUCUACCCUUGUUGCUCCCUUGUCCAGUGCCCCCUCACAUCUCUUCUCCUCUCUCUCUGUGGCUCCCUGACCCCCGCCGUCCAUAGCCGCACGCAGCACGCCGCCCUGAGGUCAACUGAAUCGCAUCCGGGUCGGUUUCUUCUAAAAAAAUUGGAUUUCAAAACUUUCAAUGUUGGACUUCACAAAUUUACCACUUUGAAGAUGGACUUCGUAACUUUACCACUUAUCUCACGAACAACUUGAUUUCCCUACCAAUUUUCCUCUUACUAGUCCACCAACCCGUGCUCCCGCACGGGCUAAUGUUUUUAGAAGUUAUUGUAUUUAAAAAUUAUUUAGAAAUUAAACUCCUAGCUAAUAAUCAAAAUUGUUUACCUAGUGCUCUCUUAUUUUUCAAUAUUUCAACAUAAUACUUAUAUAGAUAUGUACCUAUCUUUGUCCAGUUGUGAUUGGUUUUUAAUUAAUAAUUACUCAAUGCACUUUUUCAUCCAUAUUCAUAUUUUUUCCAUUUUGUAUGACACCUCCAAUCCUCCAUACAUUAUGUUUAGCAUACAAAUCAAUAUUUUUCAUCGAUUCCUCACAUACAUAUAUAAAUGGUCUAAAUGGUGGCACUCAUCAUGUGUAUAUACUUUAACUUAGUAUUUUUAUAUUAACAAUGACAUAAAUAGCUAAUUUAAAAUCAUAUAUUAAUUUACUUUUUGAUAUUUCUGUAUGAUACACAUGAAGAUAAUUAGAUUAAGAUUUAGGUGUUUACUUUAGGUUAUUUUUAAUAACGACAUACGUGGAUAACAUAGAUAAAAUUUUAGAAUGACAUUUUAAGUUAUACUUUAUAAUGAUGUGUAUUAGUAAAUUGGAUGAAGGUUAUGGAGUUACUUUAGAUUAUUUUUUAUAAUAGCUAAGCUUGGUAAUUGAAAUAUAGGUUUAGAGCUCGUUUUUGAAUAUUUUCACAAUAAUAGUGGUGGGUAACUUUUUAGAAAAUAUAAUAGUGUUUGAUAUUUUUAAUUUUUAUUAGAAUUUGUCUCUUUUUUCUAGCUUGUCUCAUGGGAACUAACACGGAGGCAACCCAUGGUCCCGCACGGGCUAAUAUUUUUUAAAUAUAUUGUAUUUAAAAAUUAUUUAGAAAUUAAACUCCUAGCUAAUAAUUAAAAUUGUUUAAUUACUACUCUCUUAUUUUUCAAUACUUGAAGAUAAUAUAUGUCAUCGCUAGAUUAAAAAUUAUGGACUAUAUGUUUUUCUUGAUUAAGUUAGGUUAUUAUUUUAGGGGGAUGUAAUAUUAUCUCGAUAGAUGGCUACAUAGAUUAAAAAUUAUGGUUUGCCGGUGAAUGAAUAAAAUGUUGUAUUGGAAGACUUAUUCAUUGUGUGAAUGUUGAGACGAUCCAAGGUGUCUACCUAUCGACAGCCCACAGGAACUUGUCACAUUUAAAAUAGAAAGAAAGCAGGGUGCUAGGAACUUGUCGCAUUUAAAAUAGAAAGAAAGCAGGGUGCUGUACAGUUGUGUUUUCUCCUUUUCCCCAUUCAUCAGAUCACGGAUAGGCAUAGGUGAAGAUAUCAGCGGCUGGUGCAGGUGUGCUCUGUGUUAUCUCGCCUGGCAUUUGUCGUAUGAUUCACUAAUCACCCGUCCUGAUUUCCUACGGUCGGCUCCUCGUAGCGGUCGCUGGCACUUGUGCGGAUCUGAAAAGUCAGGUUUUGGAGAGUUGCUGCUGUAGCCGUCGUUCUUAUGGAUUUCCGAUUCGUCCUCAAGGAUUCGCUUCACAGGUACCUUUUCUCUCUUCUUUUCUUCUGUAUUAUUGAAUCGCAACCUGCGGUUUAUACUGAAUUAUUGCUGAACUGGUAAAUUUUUAUGCUAAUUUUUCCCGAAAGAUUAGCCAUGCAUCUAGCGGCACACCUUUUUUUUCUCUCUCAUUCGAUUUGGCUUGCUGCGGCCAAAACAGAGUCCGGUUUUUUACCCCUUUGAAAUUUCUUAUUCGUAGCUGUGUAUUACACUGUUUGGAUCUCUCCUAUGGUCUAAUAAAUUCACAUCUUCAUUAAUAUUGUACAAAUACCACUGUACACUGAUUGCACCUAUAAUAUUUGUACUUCUUCCAAGGUGGGUGUGUGGUUGAAUUUCUACUAAUACUUUUGCUGGACAUCUUCUAUCAGUUUAUAUCACUGCAUAAUAGAUUUAAGUAAUAUUAUAGGUUCAGCUAAUUUGUGUGAAGAGAAACAUGAAACACGUGAUUUUGUAUGUGGUACUUUGAAGGGCUGAACUACAUUACGUUGUGAAGGCAGAGGUACAUAGUGUGCUACAGAAUUUCCUUGUAGACUAUAUUUUUUGCCAUAUUAUCUUCUGGAGAUUCUUCAUCUGAUAUCAGAAUCUUAAGGCCUUCUCUGCUUGUAACGCGAGACACUGCAACAUACAGCUGUCCAUGUGUGAAGACUUGCUUUGGUAAAUAGAGUCCAACAUUUUUUAGUGACUGUCCCUGGCUUUUGUUUAUUGUCAUUGCAAAGCAUACAGUUAUUGGAUAUUGCCUUCUUUUCAACACAAAUGGCCAUUUUGAUUCGGUUGGUGACAUGAUGAUUCGUGGGAUGUAGACCUUAUUUCCAAUGUUUGUCCCAGUUAUGAUUUGUGCUUCGAUGAACCACUUCCCUAGUUGUGUUAUGGUCAACCUCGUGCCAUUGCAUAGGCCUGCACUUUGAUUGAUGUUCCUUAGCAGCAUUAUUGGUAGCCCAACUUUCAAUUGUAAUUUAUGAUUUGGUAUUCCAGGGAAUUUUAAGCUAUUGAGGAACUCUGUUGGAUACAACUGAUCUUCACUUUCUUUUGUUGAGAUGGCUUUGCAUACUGUAUCUGAGCUUAGGUAUGUUGUUUCUUCACCUGGUAUUUGACUCAUUAUGUAAGAGUUUAUGUUGUCCACCAUCUCAUUUCUUGGGCAUAGUAUCGCUCUUUCUUCUAGGUAUGUUCUGUUACUGUAGUUCCUUGAUAGAUCAGGGUAUGUGUUGUUUACAAUUGUCUCCAAUUCAUCCUCUCCUUUCUGUAAAAUCAAGUCUUGUGGUAUUGUUAUCCAAGCUUCAUCAUCUUUAUCUCCUGCUAAGCCGUCUCCAAUGCUUAAUAUCCAAUCUGCAAAUUCCUGUAUCUUCUUCUUUUCUUCUGUUGAAUUUGUAACUGCAGUUAGGCGCAUAUUUGUUGUGAGCUUAAUUUCUUCAAAGUGCUUCCAUAAGUAUGAUCGCUUUAAGGAUGCAUCAAUAAUAUGAGUUCUUCUUCCUUUUGGUAUGACUGGCAAAGUUUGUCUGAAAUCACCCCCCAUUACUAUUGUCAUCCCUCCAAAUGGCUUGUCUUUGCUAUUCUCAUCUGUAAAUCUUAGGAUGUCUCUCAAGCUCUUGUCUAGUGCCUCAAAGCAGUGUUUGUUUGUCAUAGGGGCCUCAUCCCAUAAUAUCAGUGAUGUCUUGUUUAAAAGUUCUGCUAGUAAUGAUCCCUGCUUGAUAUCACACGUUGACUCGUUAUUUAUGUUCAGUGGGAUGUGAAACCGUGAAUGUGCGGUUCUUCCUCCUGGUAAUAGAAGUGCUGCUAUACCACUUGAGGCCACGGCUAAAACUAUUUUUCCUUCAGAUCUUAGGGAUUUUGUUAUAGCCUUCCAAAGAAAUGUCUUCCCCGUUCCACCAUAUCCAUUGACAAAUAUAAGUUUGCCAAGUUUACUGUUAACUGAUUGUGUUAUUGCAUCAAAAGCUUUCCUUUGAUCAAGAUUUAAUUUCUGUAGUAGCUCCACACACUCUUUUUGGAGAGAAUUUCUGUCAUAGUUUAGCUCCUCAUUCAGCAACCUAUUUCUCAGACCCUGCAUGACAGUGUUGUCUGGUAGUGGCAUUCCAUUAAAGUCUUUUAGAGAUUUUCCACCUUUUCUUAGCAACUGCUCUAUCUCUAUUAGUGUAAGCUUCUUCUUUUGUUCUGGUUGUAGAUGUAAUCUUUCAAAGUUCAUGAACCUCCUUUGGUGCCUCUCGAUGUCCUCAGAAAGUAGUUCCCAAUUUGAUUCCCACAGUUUCAGAGGGUCCGUGACCUCACAGAAUAGCAAUAUCGUGCAGAAAAGUUGUCGCAUCUGGGUUGCGGAAGCCCAAAAUGAAGCCUCUUUGAUGCAAUCGUCCCACUCAUUGUCAUCAUCUAGUAAACCAAGGGCGUAACACGUUGAUUUGUAGGUUUUGUGGAUAACACCAUCCACUUUUCUGAUGUCUUUGAAUGACUUGCAUCCUUUCACAAUGUUCAGCAGUAUUCUCAAGUAGUACCUAUCUCCACUUGCAGGAUGGGCAUAAUAGAUCCUGCCUAUGGAUCUUUUUCCACCACGUCUCGGCUUCUAUUCCUUUUCUUUUGGGUGCCAUGUCCACUUAGUUGGAAAUUCUGCAUAUGUUAGUUCACGGGCAUCUUCAUGCAACCGAUUAGCUACGUGAUUUGGUUUUGAGUCCUAUAAAAUGUGGAGUUGUUUAGUUAGUUUGUAGAUAAAAUAUCUACGUGAUUUGGUUUUGAGUCCUAUAAAAUGUGGAGUUGUUUAGUUAGUUUGUAGAUAAAAUAUCUUGGGACGUGUGCUAACAGCUUGGAUUUGGUUCUGAUCCUUUUUAAAAUAUAUAGUUGUUAGGAUAUUCUCGUUAGUUUAUCUGUCUUAACUGAAACAAUAAAUUGAAUUUUUUGUAAGAUGAAAUUGUUAUUUUAUUUUUUGGUUCAUGUAAGAAUUUUUAAUCAUCAUCUGAACUAUCUAUGUGUAUAGCAGCCAUCUUUUAUAUUGAUUAAAGUGCACGUCCUGUGGUUGUGUCAUAUAGGUGUACCAACUAUGAAAUUAUAUUUUUGGGAAACUAAUCGAUUUAAGUGGUGCAUAGUCUAUUCAAUAUGGGCUUAGCAUCGAUCUAGCAUGCCGACUCGAUUCCUUCUUUAUCUAUCUUUUUCUAAUAAUUGCUCCUUCUCUUUCUCUCCUCUUCCUCACGCCAGCAACAACUGCCCAGCUCCAAUUUUCCUCCAUGAGCCAACUACAGAAGGACAUCUCUAUCUCGUGCACCUCGUCCAACCAAUCCACAGGGAACAAAGCAGCAGCAACAUCUUCUCAAAGUUGGUUACUCCCUGUUCUGCAAGCAGCUACAACACCACCAGUCCCUCGCUUCUCCAAAAACCCAAACAUCAGCAGUCCCUCAAUCCAAUUCGCAACAGUACCAUCAGCUAAUCCAUCAAAUCUAACUUUGAUUCCUCGCUUGAACAGCUCACCUCUCUCCUUUUUUUCUCAACUGAGUACAGCAACGCAGCAGUUUGAGAUCCCUAUUCUUUGACACAAAAUCGUCAAACACGAUUACCUUAUAGUGGGCAUGCCGUGCCAGUCAAAUGUUCACAUGGCAGCCUCCGCGCUAUUUAGUUUUGUCCACUCUGCCAACGAAUUUUUCCCAGUGCACAUGUGGUAAACACAAACUGGGUUGUUUUCUCUUUUAAAUUACUGAUCCCUAACAAUAUAUAUUUUUGCUAUUACAAAACUCUCCUAUGAUCAAAUAGUACCUUUAUUAAUAGACUACAAAUAAUAUUGUUAACUAAUCCUAUCUAUUCUAUUUUCUACUUCUUCCAAGGUGCUUGGGUGCUUUAGUAGCUUUUGAAACUUCGUCCGGACAUCUUCGAUCAAACAUCUGAUUGCAAAUAGAUUUAAGUAAUAUUAUGAGGUUAGUUAACUUGUUUGAAUUUAAAGAUGAAAAUUGUAAUUGUAUUAUACAUAAAUAAUUCUAUACCUAUUGUUUGUAUUUUGCAGGUAUUCUCCUAAUCCUUGUUGACCUGUAUGGAGAUGUUUGCUUAUUGUUCUUGUUGUCUUCGCUUACUUCUUUUACACCAGUUUCAUGCUUGCUCUGCAAAUUUUCUUAUUAUCGUUAUUAAUGCUAAAGAUUAGUAAAGGUCAGACAACAGAUGCGAAUUGAAUUACCUCUUCAUCUGAUACUUUCAUCUUCAUCUCCUUUGAGUCGCCUUCUUGAUUUCUCCUUUUAAAUUUCUGGACACUUUGUGUCUUACUGUCUCCAUCAAACUCAUUUGGUUCCUUCUCCUGCAAAAACUUUAAAAAUAGUAUUAUAUAUCCGGUAACACUAUGAACUAUGAUCUGAUUUCUUCUUAGAGUAUUUGUUCAUCAACAGAUGCGAAUUGAAUUACCUCUUCAUCUGAUAUUUUCAUCUUCAUCUCCUUUGAAUUGCCUUCUUGUUUUCUCCUUUUAAAUUUCUGGGUUCUUUGUGUGUUACUGUCUCCAUCAAACUCAUUUGGUUCCUGCUCCUACAAAAUUUUUAAAAUAGUAUUAUAUAUCAGGUAACACUAUGUAGUAUAAUCCGAUUUCUUCUUAGAGUUUCUGUUCAUUUGUGCAGUAAAAUUCCUAUUAUCAUAAUGUCAUCAUGUUUUUGUAUAAUUUGCAAAUAUUGUUACACAUACAGAAAAGGUUUUUUUUGAGGUAAACGUAUAAUAAAUUUUUAUGUCCAUACCUCCUCAUGGUUAUGCCGUUCAUUUUCUUCAUCUGAAUCUUCUAUUUUACAUAUUCUCUUCCUUGCAUUCGGUCUCUUAGCUUCCAUGCAUUCUUCAUCUGAGUCUAGUACUGUAAUUACAUUUCUUUUUUUGUAUUUCUUCCUUUGGAGGGUCUUCUUGUACUCACUGGCAGUAAAGUUAUCUUCGUUGAGACCCUUUAGCUCCCAGUCAUUGGUGUGUCCUUCCUACCAAAAUAAAAACCUUAUCCAGUAUUGAAGACCUAAUUAACAAAAUAGGAAAGAUGAACCGUUGUUAGUUACAAUACCUGUGUAGUUGGAAUUUUUUUCUUCAUAACUUUUUUGCCUUUUCUUCCUUCUCGGUUAACUUUCUUUGGAUUUGUUUUUAUUCCUUUGCUUGAACCUUGGAUAUCACUAAUAACCAUCUUUGAGUUGUUGCCAUCUUCUUCCUAAGAUUGCAUAAAUUAUUUAAGUGCUAAGGAAGUAUUUACCCAAAUACAAAAAUGACAUUUCUGUUUGUUGAAAUACAGUUGUAGUAGAAGUGUUUGUCUGCAUUACAACUUUUUUGCUUUUCCUUUUCAGCCGAACACCUUUCUUCAGAUGUUUUUUUGACCUUUUGGAUGAACUAAGGUUUUCAUCUCCAAUGACAUCUGAAUUGCUGAUAUAUUCAUCCUAAAAAAGAACUUGUCAAGUGUUAAAAAAAUAUUUAAUAAAAAUAUAAGAGAAUACUUUUGUUUAUGGAGUACCUUUUUUUCUAUGUUUUGUACGGAUAUUUUUCUAUGUUUGCGUUUUUUCUUGUCACUUCUUCUGGCAUCUUCUUUUUCCUAAAAAUUGUGAAUUAUCACAUAGAAGAGUAUAUUAAUAUAGCCUAAGAAUUGAACAUAUAUCAUUUUUUAAUUUAAUUGCAAUAGAGCACUUUCUAAUGCAUACUGAUCAGAUUAGAUAUUGCACUAUCCGCUAUUCCUUUAAAGCUUAGUCAGCCUGCAAUUUUGCAUGAAUAAUAUUUUUUUUGCAUGUACUGUAAAUAGAAUGAACAAUGAGAGGGAAGUGAGUAUACUUUUCUAGCCAAUCUUUCUCCAGUCCUUAUGGCUUUUUGUACGAAUGUUACUUUCUUGGUAAAAGAGUCAUCAGUGUCUACCUCUUCAUUCUCGGUAGUUAUGGUGUAGCAUUUGUCUGAGUUGUCUUCUACUUCCUACAAAUAAUCAAAAAAAAAAUAAAUGUAGGUUAGAAUUUGUUUCAUUGAUAUAGUAAAAUUAUUAAAUAUUAAGGAUUCUAAAGAAAAAAGUGCAAUAAAAACUUAAUAAUAAAGUGUUACCUUUUUUACACUUUGCAUUCCAAUUCUUGAACUACUCUUUUCUUUUAGAAAAAAUAUCUUUGAAACAGUAUAAUCUGGUCUAAAACUUGUCAAGUUGUACUCGGUCAAUCUGAAUUGAAAAAUUAAUGUUUGACCACAUAUUUUUUGAAUUGAUUCUGGUACCUCCUUACUAUCAUGAUCAGCUGAGCUGAUCAUCGAAUCUGCUGAUUCAUUAAUUAUCAUUUCUGCUUCCUUGUCAAAAAGUACACAAGAUGCACUUGUAGUCGGAUCACUUAUUUGAAGCUUAAUUUUGAAUCUGCAAACAUUAUUCUCCUAUGAGAAAUAAAAGUAUUAUAAUGAUAUUGUAAACUACUAAAUAAUUUACCGUGCUUUAGGUUCGGCUCUCUUGUCACAUUUAUUGCAAUAAUAGUGAUCAAACUUCUUUUCAAGUUGCUUCUUACAAUCGCCUCUACUACAUGAGAUGUAGUACCAACCAUAUGUUGCAUUAAUUUCAUUUAUUGUUGCUUCAACAGUAAAUACCUUAUCCUGAAAGUAGGAACAAUACCAUCAUUAUGUAUGUAAGUCUUUAAAUAGUAUAGUGUGUAAUGAACAUACUAAUUCAUACCUGAUUUGAUGCUUCAAAUAAUAUCAAAUUUAAUUCUUCUAAAGUUCUUCUGUUGUACUGCAUUUGGUCUUGCAAUGUCCCUUUUAGAUGGUCCUCAAUAUGAAUCUCUUUGACAAUAUUAUCAAUUGAACUAACGUUUUUUAUCAUACAAAAGAAUGUAUCAUGUUAGAGUGCAUGCAACAUAGAUUAAAAUAGAAAAAUAAUAACUAAUUUUUCUCACCUGUCAUGUGCAUCCUUAGUUUCAGGAAUAGGUAGAUCUACAUAAACUUUUGUUGCAUUGGUUGACGAUAGAGAAUACCCUGAGAAAAUAUCAAUUAUUUAUUUUCCUAGGAGGUUAGUUUGUUGAAUAAUUAAUAUUGGAUAACUCAUAUUGAAUAAAGACUUACUUCCAAAUUUCCUCACAGUUGUAGAUGUUAUUGCGAUGACAUGGGAUUUUGUCUCAUCAUCAACUUCCUCAACUUUGUCUCCCCAAAAUCUAACUUUAACUUCAUGAUCACUACAAAUUUAAAAGUGCAUAAUAAUAAAUAUUUAAAAUAUCUAACCAUGAAAUUAAUUAUUUGUAGGGGCACUAUAGAAGAUAUUUUCUAGUUCAACAGAAGUUCUAUAACAUGCAUGUAAACGUUGAAAGUUUCGUAGUUGUUUACUACAAAAGAAAAGAGAAUUACUCCAUCAGAAGCACAAUAUCACGGAUUUUGGUAAAUCCAAAGUUUGUUCUUGUUUCUUCUAUCGGUCCAAUGUGUGCUGCGACACCUAUAACAUCUAUGAAAUAUAAAUAUGAAUUAUUAUUAGAUGGCUGUCGAAUGAGUGGAAGUGUAAAAAUUGAAAAGCCAGUAAUGGUUUACCUGAUAGGUACAUGUCCACAUUUAUUCUUGAUGAAAGCAUAUCCGUGCUCAUAAAAUUGAAACUAUACUUUGGAAUGUCUUCAGUAUCUUUGACCGUUUUUAGUGUAGUUGUGGGCAAGAAGUUGACUAUUCUGUCAUUUACCACUGGCCGAUACUUCUGGGCUGCUGGUGUGAUUCUGACAUUUGCAAUUGUGUACACAUUGCCUUCUUCAAUCAAUGGUUUGAACUUAUCCAUAUAGGCCUUAUUGAUAACACCGUGCAUCAUGGUUCCCUAAUUUUGCAUCAUCAAUAAUAAUUUGUAAACAAAAAAAUAUACCAAAAAUUGCAAUCAAAGUGAACAUCCAUCAUACCUCUUGAUCAAUAAGGAUCAUGUCAAGACUUAAUUGUUCGCCACUACUGAGUAAGGUUGCAUUCCACAAUCUGGUUACCCUUGCCUUGAUGUUCCACAAUUCCUUUCCCGGUCUAAUUUCAGAUAAAGUUUUGCUCACCAUUGCAACUUGUUGAACUGCAUAAGCAAAAGAUGGUGAUGGAUUCAAUUGGACUAUUUUUCUAUAUAAAAGACAUUAUCUACAAACAUGGAAUUCAGUUGCAUGCUGUACUACUACAACUGGAUCUAUGUAUUGUUGGUUAUUACCGAGUGCCAGAUACUAACAGCUUAAUUUGCAGGUUGGUGGCAAAAUGCAAUCUCUGGAAUGUCGUUGUAAAUAUCUGCAUGUGUUCGACAGUAGCAACUCAAGAUUGUUAUUAUUCCAUAAAAACAUAAAUGAUUGUCGUGAUUGGUCAUACUUAAAUGUAUUAUUUUAAUUUUGAUACAAAGAUGCGAUAGGAAUAACAGUUUGAGAACAAUGGUGAGAAGCAAGUCAUCUAUACCACGUAUGCAGGAGGCCAUACAAUAACAAAUUAUUUAAUAGUACUAAUAUAUUCCAUGAAAAGUUAAUCUAAUUAUAGAAGGGGAACCAAACAAUUUGCAAGCUUGCAUGCGACCGUGCGCAAUGUUACUCCUCAAUGAAAACAAACUCAUAUCUGCCUUUGAGAACAACUGUGAGAAGCAAGUCAUCUAUACCACGCGUGCAACAGGCCAGACAAUAAACAAAUGAUUUAAUAGUAGUAAUAUAUGCUAUGAAAAAUUAAUCUAAUUGUAGAAGGGAAAUCAAACAAUCUGCAAGCUUGCAUGCGACCGCGCCCACGAUGAUAACAAACCCAUCUCGCCUAUAACUCAAUUCUCAUUAUUAGAAGGGAAAUCAAACAAUCUGCAAGCUUGCAUGCGACCGCGCGCACGAUGAUAACAAACCCAUCUCGCCUAUAACUCAAUUCUCAUUAUAUUGAUUAUUUUCCUCUCAUAUGACCAUGGAGAAAGACAUACAGAGAGACAAAGAGAUUACAGUACUGGUAGAUUGGUUAGGGCAUUCAUCUAUGGAGAUUAUUCUAUAGUAGGAUGAUUUAGAGAGAUAUUGGUACCUUUGGUUGAUGGUCGUCUUCCUAUGAGAAAAGACAAAAGACAAACUGAAACCCGUUGGAGCUCAGCGUUCUCGCAAGCUUGGUGCCUGUUGGAAGGAUCGGGAGAGAGAAUCGCCUGCUUCUGAGCGCCGGACUCUAAAUUUCCUGUAUAUAUAAUGGCCAUGCAAACUAAGCUCCGGACUCUGAAUCACCAUUAAGGUCUAAAAAUAUUCUGACAUUCACGUGGACAUUUUAAUCAUGUGCGGCUAAGAGAUAGAUUUAUUGAUGUACGUAAAAGAUAUAUUCUUGCUAACAGAUAGAUUCAUUGAUGUAUAUCUCACGUUCACCUCAUAUUUCACGUCCGACAAUUAAGUCAAAUUACAUGGAGAUAAAGAUUAGGGGUUGCUUUAGUUUAUUUUAUAUAAUGGCAUAGGUGGGUAAUUUAUAUAUAGAUUUAGGGGGUUACUUUAGGUUGUUUUCAUAAUGGCAUUGGUGGGUAAUUUUUUUGAAAACAUAAUAGAUCCAAUGGCUAUGGUGAUUUAAAUCUAUAUAUCGAUGGUCGGAUGCUUUGCUUUUUUGUGAGAAUUUCUAGGAUUUCUCUUUUUUUUUAGAGUGUCCACCUAGGAAUCCUAGGUGGCUUCACCUGGAGGCUUCAAAAGGAGCCUCCAAUUAGUAAUAGUAAGAUUGAUUUUUAUUUCUUUUCCAAAUAACAGCCACCCAAAAUGACUAAAAUGCCCAUAACCACCUCUCUGCUAGCCACUUCGCGCCGUUCCCGCAUCAGUCGCCGCCGCACAAUUUGGUCCGGAGGCGGAGAUCCUACCCUAGCGCUCGGCCGCUUGAGACACCCGCUGGCUGUCGUCGCCAGAUUCAGUCCAGACUCCAGAGGCCGCUAUCCUCCCCUAAGAGAAGGUCAAUAAUAGAGCCAAUAUCUUUGUCUAUAAGACAAGACAUGUCAUCAACAAAUGAUAUUGCAAGUAAGGUGCACAGCAAUGGUCGCUUAACUUACCACCUCAAAACUCUUAUUAAUAUUUCUUUAUUCAGAUUGGCCCACCCAUCAGCACCUAAACAGCUUUGCCACUGCAUGCUGUUUAAUGCUGUUGUUCUUGGCUUCUGUGUUCAGCUUAUUCAGCCGGCUUAUCAGACACCAAACAGUAUUUUUCUCUCACAACAAAUCAGCCGUUUCAGCUUUUCAGCCGGCUUAUAAGCUGAAGCGAACAGGCUAGCGCCAAGCUGAGCACUUUUUUCUUCUCUCUCCUCCACGGCAGCAUGACUACAAUUGUUGUACCUGCUCUAACACCCGGUGCUGACCUCGAGUAGCGCGUGAGAAGAGAGGCGCAUCACCCACGGGCCAGUUGCUACGGGCACGUGUAGGGUCAUGUUUAGUUCACCCCCAACUCCCAACUUUGGCACUAUGCAAAAAGAAGAUUCCCCAUCACAUCAAACUUGCGGUACAUGCAUGGAGUACUAAAUGUAGAUGAAAUUAAAAACUAAUUGCACAGUUUUGUUGUACUUUGCGAGACGAAUCUUUUGAGGCUAAUUAGUCAAUGUUUGGACAAUAAUUCACAAAUACAAACGAAACGCUAUAGUGUGCUACAGUGCCAGCACAGUAAUUUGGCACCUCCCAAUUUGGCCAACUAAACAAGGCUUAGGAGGGCUGCAAAUUGCUCUGUGCAGCCACGCCCCGAAUUGCUGCCGCGUGUCCACCCGACAGAUCCAGCAUCUUGCUCUCAGCUCUACUUCAACCAUCAGCCGAACGCAUGCGGCACGGUUCUCAGCUCUGCUUCUGCACUUGUCUUUCAGUUUUCAUAUUCAAGGAUUGUAUUGGCGGUACAGAAAGUGUUUCAUAUUGAUUUUGGUGAGAAGUGUAUGUAGAAGUAAGAUAGCAGUGAGUUGGCUACGUCCGGAGUAAGGACUAAACUUAAAUCCUAAACAAUCCAAACAGGGCUUAGGCCAUUCAAAAUGAAUCAACUCAUGGGAAUAAAGAAAGGUUAGACAUGUUCUGAAGAUUGGUUUGGUGUUUUGUUCCAGUGGUUGAUUCGGUACUAGGUCCACCAUCAAAUAAAAAAAAAAAAGCCAAACUUCUUCUCUGCUGCUUGCUCAUGAAGGCAUAAGAGGCAUGUGUUCUGCUUUUAGCUUUGUUUAUCCCCUAUGAAUCCAUGCAAGUAUAAGAGUUGAUUCUUUGUCUCUUUUCCAUGAAUCGACUACUUCCAAUGAAGAUGAAUCGGUUCAUCACCUCCACAUCAGACCAUGAAUUGCUUGGAAAGGGCCAAUGGCCUUGUGGGGCUAUGGGUGCCCUAAGCUUUUAAGUUUUGAAGGACUACUAUGACACCAAACAGAACUUGUUUAACCCUAAUAUCAACUAUUUUCCUAGUGAUUUCUUUUUACGAAUUGUCGGCAUGAUUUUUCCAAAAUUUUAUUAGAAAGAGAAAAAAUAAUUGAAAAAAGGGUUUGCUCCCAUCAGCAUAUAUAGUGCCCUAAAACUAAGAAUAAAUUUGUUGGCUGCUGCUGCAAAUUUUCUCAUACUCAAAUUGGCUAUCUAUUGCAAUUUUUUAUUGAUUAGGUUCUUUAUGUAUGAAAUCCGUUUACCUGGAUUUGAAUCCUCGAUUUACCAGGUGCUCUAGUUUUCCUUGAUCUAUUUGAAGGAGUAUCAAUUUGUUUAGAUAAUAUUCUCCCUUGAAAGCAUGCCCACCAUUCACAAAAACCCUGUCAAGCACGGCAACUGUACAUGCUUUCUUGUCGAGAUUGGACGAUACGUACCAAAUGACUUGACCGACCUUGUCAGAGAAAACCUACGAAUGAAUUAUGACCACACAACACAUUCUUGGAAGCGCCAUCAUCACAGAAAAGAGCCAAAUCAGAAGGAAUCUCGUGCUGGUAAACCAUCACCGCCCCAGCUGAAUUUCGACCGCAACGAAACGGCACGAGACAAGUGGUCCAUGAGCCUAGAAUAUCUCCGUUCAAUUUCAGUAGAAAAGUACUCUGGUAUUUUAGGCUGGACACGCCGCAACAAUCUUAUCCAGCUCAAGCAGCGACGUACGGCUGUAGUAUAGAAGAGGAGACGGGCCGGGACCUGAAAAAUGACGGUAGCUGUUAAGUUUGACGGACUCGGGUCUUCGCUACAGAAGCGGUCAAGCUAAGCCAAGGCCAGUAAAUCUGUUUUUAAACCCCGGGGGGCCUUGGCCAGCUAAGCAUCAAAGCUCACAGUACACAACUACACACCACCGUGUCGCAAGUGAAGCACGCUCCGGCCUUGCAGAGGUGCACCAUUCUCGAUCAUCUCUAGUCCUGAUUACUAUUGCUUCUGUUUUUGUCUAGUACUCUGCUGACUUACCUACCAUAUCAGUUUUUUCCGCGUGAAGCGGUAACACCUGACAAAAGUUCAGCCUUUCUGCUUUAAACAAGAAGUAAAAUUUAGAUAUAUUUCAUGUUCGAGCGCACCACAUCCGUAGUUCGAUUGAAUUGUAUUGUUGUCGUCGCUAGAACAUAUUAGAUGCCAUGAACGGGCAUAGUGAUACAGCGAAGCUCCACCAGUGAACGUAGCAUGGCCAAUAUUUACUGUUUACAUUUUUGCAGGUGCCUUGUUUGUCAUGUGUUGCGCUAAGCAACCCGUGAAAAGCAGCAUGCUCUUACUAUUGGUUUGGCUGCUGCUAUCAUAUUUCUUUGGCAAUAUUCAUUGCUCAACUGUCCCCAAGAACAGCACGGACAUGCUUUCACUGCUUGAUUUCAAGCAGGCCAUCACUAAUGAUCCGGGGAAAGUUUUGAGCAACUGGACUGCUAGCACUCCUUAUUGCCAGUGGACAGGCGUCAAAUGUAGCCGGACGCACACAGACCGUGUCGUCGUGCUGGACCUCGCCGGCCACAGUUUGACGGGCACGUUGACAGCUUCACUUGGGAACUUAACGUUCCUUAGGAUACUCAACCUGUCCGUGAAUCACUUCUCUGGUCACUUGCCACAUCUUAACCAUCUCCACCAAUUGGAGGUCCUUAAUCUGAGCAGUAACUCCCUACAAGGGGUAAUUCCAGAUACACUCACAAACUGUUCCAAUCUUAGAAAAUUAUUCCUUGCCUACAACUUUCUAGAAGGUGAAAUUCCACUGAAUGUUGGUCUCCUAUCAAAAUUAUCAACAUUGCAACUUACGAACAAUAGUCUGACCGGAGCCAUCCCACCAAGUCUCAAUAAUACUCUGCUAGAAAAAAUCGGCCUUGCAAAUAAUCGGCUCACAGGAAGCAUUCCAAGUGAGCUUGGAUAUUUGUCAAAUCUGUCAGUUCUGCUUCUCGGCGGCAAUAUGCUAUCAGGUGUAUUCCCAGCAUUCCUACUUAACAUGUCUACCCUAAUUGGGUUACAUUUAGGUAGGAAUUUGCUACACGGGGAGUUGCCAUCUAACAUCGGCAGCGUGUUCCCUAGUCUCCGUAAUCUUGUUCUAAGCAUCAACAAGUUUGAAGGCCAAAUCCCAGCUUCAAUAGGCAAUGUUCCAAAUCUUGAAGUGAUAGAUCUAUCAUCAAACAAUUUCACUGGUCAAGUUCCUAGUUCUUUUGGUAACCUUCUUCAGCUAAAUAAGCUAAUUCUAGAGGAUAACAUGCUUGAAGCACCAGACACCAAAAGCUGGGAAUUCUUAUAUGCCUUGAGAAACUGUAAUCAUUUGAAUGUGCUCUCACUAGCAGGAAAUCGGCUAACUGGAGCUAUUCCAGAUUAUAUUGGCAAGUUGCCCACUGGACUUGCAAAACUAUAUUUGGACGACAACCACCUAUCAGGGUUAGUGCCCUCAAGCAUAGGAAACCUGACUGGCUUGAUUUGGUUGGAUCUAGAUAACAACAAACUUACUGGUACAAUUGGAGAAUGGAUUGGGAUGCUAAAAAAACUACAAUAUCUAGAUCUUAGUGAGAACAGCCUCAAUGGGCCCAUCCCAUCCUCCAUUGGCAAUCUUACGCGGUUAGGGGUCCUAGAUCUAGGACAAAAUGAAUUCACUGGUACUAUACCUACCAGCCUGGCAUACCUUCAACAGCUCAUAGAUUUGGAUUUCUCCUACAAUAAAUUAGAAGGUAACCUACCUUCAGUGGUUUUUAGUAUCCCAACAUUGACCACAUUCGUGCUGUCGUACAAUAAAUUAGAGGGUCCAAUGCCUUCAGAAGUUGGUCAUCUUACACAACUCACUCUACUACUUCUUUCAUCCAACAAAAUCUUUGGUGAAAUUCCUGACACUUUGAGUCAAUGUCAAGAGUUGAAUAUCCUCGAACUGGACAAAAAUUGUCUCACAGGAAGCAUUCCGGUGUCUCUUGGUAACUUGAAGAGUUUGAGCGUGCUUAAUCUUUCCCACAAUAAUUUUUCGGGCUUGAUCCCAUCAGCUAUAGGUGACAUAAAAACUCUCACCUGCUUGGAUCUUUCUUAUAAUCGUCUACAAGGAGAAAUACCAUUCGGUGGAAUUUUUGCAAAUGCAACAGCUGUUUCGUUAAACGGCAAUUCGGGACUCUGCGGAGGAUCUUUGGAUCUGCGCAUGGCCCCAUGUGCUUCUGUUUCAUCUCAGAGAUUUGAAAGACAGUACUUUUUAAUCAAAAUAUUGAUCCCAAUAUUUGGUUUCAUGUCACUCAUACUAUUAAUCUAUUUUGUUCUCGUUGAGAAGAAGAUGUCAAGGCCGUAUUCAUUGCUGCCUUAUUUUGGAGAUAAAUUCCCUAAAUUUUCUUAUAUGGAUCUGGCUGAAGCCACAGGAAACUUCUCUAACUUGGUUGGGAGAGGAAGCUACGGAUCAGUGUACAGAGGGAAGUUGAUCCCUUCUAAACUGGAAGUGGCAGUAAAGGUUCUUGACCUUGACAUUCAUGGUGCAGAGAAAAGCUUCAUAUCAGAAUGCGAAGCAUUGAGGGGCAUUAAACAUCGAAAUCUUCUACCCAUAAUAACUGCAUGUUCGACUGUUGAUAUCACUGGCAGCUCUUUCAAAGCUCUAGUUUAUCCAUUCAUGCCUAAUGGGAAUUUGGACACAUGGUUGCAUCAUAAAGAAGGGAAUGCUUCAAAGUAUCUAAGUUUAAAUCAAAGAUUAAGCAUAGCUGUUAACAUCGCAGAUGCAUUGGAAUAUUUACAUAAUGACAAUGGAAGGACGAUUAUACAUUGCGACCUGAAGCCUAGUAAUAUUCUCCUGGAUGAUGAUAUGACUGCUCAUUUGGGGGAUUUCGGCAUUUCAAGUUUCCAUAUUGAUUCUGUGUCCACAUCAGUUGAGGAUCUAAAUAUGGCUAGUUCAAAAUGCAUUGCUUCCAUCGGCGUGAAGGGGACCAUCGGAUAUAUAGCUCCAGGUAUAUAAUUACUGUUUGUUCGAUUUUCAGCCAGUAAUACGUUGCAUAAGUAUAAUUAAUGAUGUUACAAGAACUGCGUUAUUUAUAUCUACAGAAUAUGGUGGAGGUGGCCAUGUAUCAACAUAUGGGGAUGUUUAUAGUUUUGGGAUUGUACUUCUAGAAAUGUUAACCGGAAAAAGGCCUACAGAUCCUAUGUUCACGAAUGGGCUCAACAUUGUCAACUUCGUCGAGAGGAGCCUUCCAGAUCAGAUAUUCGAUAUUGUUGAUGCUCCAGUCCAGGGAGAAUGUGAGACCUUUGCUCAAAAAGGUGCCCUAGUAGAAAACAGAAUCUCACGUUGCUUGCUGACUCUGCUACAGUUAGCACUUUCUUGUACGUUCCAAUCGCCAAGAGAAAGAGCCAACAUGAGAGAAGUAGCCAGCAAACUUCGUUCGAUCAAGACGUCACAUGCUGGCGCGAAAUUUUUUUGAAGAUGCUGAACAGUGAUUACUGAAAUCAACACGUACGGGCAUGCCCCUCAAUAUUUUAAUGAGUAAAACCCUGUUUUGCUCUCCUACAGUUGUCUGGGAGAUUAAGAAGGAAUAAUUAUGUUACGACCAAAAUUGGCAUAACCAGGAAUCAUUCUGUUGAUACCAAAAUUAUUAGCACAAAGCUUGCUCACUACUGCAGAUGACUUUCGUAUCGGCUCAUACGUGCCCGUCAAAAGGGCACCGAUGCAUCAAGUUCUUUCACACCGGUGCAGAAAACGACAGUGAACAUACUGAUGUAUAGCACACCGGCACGUUUACUUAAUUGUACCGCCGCACGAGUAAUUUCAUAAUCUAACCGGUCUGGACAUAUAAGGAUUGAUUCGCUAAUUAGGGUCUGUUUGGAAAGGGUGCUAAACUUUAGCACCCUAUUUUUAGCACCUUUUUAGCACAUGGGCUCCCAAAUAGGAGUGCUAAAAGUUGUGCGCUAAACUUUAUCACCCCCAUUUUCUUUAGCACACUCAAGGGGUGCUAAAGGGUGUUAAACUUGCUAAAAGUGGUCCUCAUCCAAUUUUUUCCCUGAUUGCCCCCUCUCUCUCUCUCCUUCCUGCCACACCCCUGCCGCCCUCCGCGGGACACGCUGCCUCUGCCCGGCCAUGCCGCCUCCACCGGCCAUCCCUCCCUCCUUCCCCACUCCGGCGCCGCCCACUUCUCCUCCGUGAUUUCCUAUUUCUCAUGCCGGGCGGGAGCUAGGCAGAGCCUAACCUCGCGGGAUCCGGUGCGGACGGCCUCUGUGGCGGAACCGCCCAACUUAAACUGGUUUAAAUGCAUCUAAUCGCUGCCGGAACAGCAAUUAUCCGAAACGCACUUAAAACAGUAUAAGUCCGGUCGUCCGUCGAGUGUCCCUAGGACUCCUCGAAUGAUCCAUGAUACGUCUCAUAGCCAUACACCAGGAUUGUUUCCAUGAUGGGAAAACAUCAACAAAUAUUACAUUUUUUCAUACAUACACGAGGUACGAGUUAUUACAAGACGUAGUUUGAAAUAAACUUAACAGUGCAGGUCAGACAGAGGUUCUAGGAAUUAAACAUAAACGGGUUCAGGUGGGAGAUGAGCAUUCAAAGAUUUCUUCUAAGGGUAUUGCGAGACUCGUAACAAUACCCUAAUUUUUUGGGGCUUCCUCCUCGGUGGACUCCUGCGGUGCCUCUGAAAACAGCCACAAGGGAUAACCCUGGGUACUUAGCAAGGCUUACCCGACUAACCAAUAUAAUAAACUUUCCUAGACUAUAUGACAGCUUUUUAGGUGUACUGGUGGACACACCUUUUUGCCAAAGAGCUUACUAAAAUUUCGUCCUUAGCUUUAUCUUUUAUUACACUUAAGUUAUUACCUAAUUAUUCUAAAUGAUGACAAAAAUAAAUAUUUUGUAAGCAUCAAGAUAUUAAGUCAUACACCAAAACAUUAGUGGAAAGAUAAUGCAUUCGUGAAUUUAUACUACGAUGCUCAACAGUGAUCAAGUGCAUUCAUAACCGAGAAUUGCGGUGAUCCGGAUCAAAUUACAUCCUGCAGGAAAGUACCCUGGUCACCAGUUAUAUACGACUGUCCAAGUCAUAUGUAACGACCUUUCGAUUAUCAAAUCCAAGGAUUGGGAAUAAGACUACCUGGACCCAGGGACGCACCCCCACAUGGGAUCCCACGUCUGGCCUGAUCUCCAUGUGAGUUUCAGGCUACGCCCCUGCCAAUCUCCAGCACAUCAAGCACGGGUACGAAUUAUUCCCGAUCAGAGGGUUUACUAACCUACCAGGCUUUACUGGUCCCAUACCCAGUAAGUAACCAGGUGUCAUUCACUUGAUCAAAGGUUAAGACAACGAUCGGGCCUUAACCAAAUUAAUCUAGCAGACAGAACUACAUCCUUAGCUUCUGUCCGCUUCUUAACUUUCAAGCUAUCUUUCCAUAAUUAGCAUGUAUGACCCAACAUGUUACCUUAAGGUUCGGUAAUCAAGUUACUUAAGCGACUAAGCAUUUCUAGACUUGGUAACUUACUAAAUAUUCGAACAAGUGGCAAAGAUGUCCUUAAAACAAGGUACGAUAAUGCACUAGAAUGGGUUUCAAUCAACUCCUAGACCUAGUGCAUUCAUAUAGAAAAUAACCGAUAAUUGGACACAUGAAAUAAUAACUCCAAAAUAAAUAGGUAUAAUGCACCGGGGCUUGCCUUGUUCUAUAAAAAAGUUAGCACUGUCUGAAGGAUUGGCCUCGCAGGGGACCAACUCAAUAAUCUCUUCGAACUCCGGAGAUCCUUCUGAAAAUUCCGAGAAAUCCUCUUCCGGUGCUUCGGUGUCUAAGAUAAAGCAUAUGCAGGGGUUAGUGAUGCAACUUUUUGAAUACAAGACUAUACAACUUUCCUUCAUGAUAAAGUUGCAAGCCAACAAGGGACUAUACAAUUUAUCAUGAUAAAGUUGCAAACCAACACAUAAAAACCCGAAAAGAUUAACCCACCAUUUUUAUUUCCUUCACUAACCUUACCUAAGGCUCUUUCUUUUAUUUUUAGAAAAUGUUAUAAUUAUUUUCUAGUCUUGAAACCUAAUUUCCUAUGGGUUAACAAUGAUUUGUGAUUAUGAAAAUGUUAUUCCAUAUUUUAUGCAUUUUAAUAAAGAUUAAGUAUUUAUUUAAAUACCUUAAAGAAAAGGCAUUAAACAAAUACCUAAAUUUUUAUUAUUUUUUCUAGGGUAUAAAAAUUUUAAUGCAUAAAAGGAAAAUAAAACAAUCCUAACAAAAUUGGUUUCACUAAUUUUGGACACCCCUAGAAAUUUCUGUAAUUUAAAUGGUGAUAACCGAAUUUAAUCUAUUAUUCUAUAAAAGGAAAUCUAAAUUUUCCCGGAAAAACCUCAGCCUACUUUUCUCACGCACCCUUACCCUACCCCCUCUCUCUUACGCUGGGCCCGCGACUCGGACCCACCCCCUUCUCUUAUUCAUCCUACCCGACGACCAUUUCUCCUCGGCUGGGCCCUACUGGGCCGAUUUCUUCUCUUCUCCUCUUUCCUUUUCUUAAUUUGGCCCAGCGACUCAACCCCUUCUUUUCUUUCCUUCGCGCAUCUUCCGACCUGUCUCACCGGCCUACCGGCCUGCUGGACCUCACGGGCCCCCAACCUCUUUCCUUUACCAACCGCCCACACUGGCACUCGGGUCUACGGGACUUCGGCCCACCUGACGUCUUCGCCCCGCCUGCUUCCUUCCUCCCCUUUCUCCUCUGACGCGUGGGCCCACAAACACCAGAGCCUUCUUCCUUCUCGCGCCAAAACCCGAGCGCGGCAGGGGGCGGCACAGCUCGCCGGCCGGUGCCCCACCGGCGACGGGGCCGGGCUGGGGAAGCAUCCCCAUGCCCUAGUGCACCUGUGCGCGGCGGUAGCUCCCCGGGAGGUGGCCAGAGCCAUCCUCUCCACGGCGGCGGGCGACGGCACUAACGGCCGGCCGUGACUAAGCACGACGACGGCGCAGCCCACCCUUUCGACAACCUCUACAGCUUCCUAGUACCCCAAGGACUCACCUACGACUGUCCACACGGAAAGAGAACGAAGGCAAGGAAUUGCUCACCGUGAGCAGGAGGUGCGGCGGUGGCGGACGGAAACGACGGCGAUGCAGGGCACGCAGGCGGAGAGGCUGGGCAACAAGCUGCUAGGGUUGUUGGUGGGGUGUGAGUGGAGGUGUGGACGGAAGGAAUCGACGAGAGCUGCGGUGUGGUGGAGGAAUUUUGCUCGGUGGCGGCGGCGUGACAGAGAGGGUGGCGGCGUUAAAAAGAACCGACGGUAAACACGGCGGCGGGAGCGGUAGAUAUAUGAAGUUUUUACCGUGCGCAUGGUCGACACCGUGGCCUAGCUAUGGCCUUGCGUGGCGUGGAGGUGGCCUAGCUGUUGAGCUGGACAGCGGGCAGGACCACCGGCGGCGACACGUCAUGCUCAGCUCUGUUUUCUCGUCUCCCCCUUUCUUCUUUCAUCAGAAAGUUCAGAGCCUUUCCACGGCCGAUUUUCAAUCCGACAGUCCACAAACCUCUUAAGCAAAGUUGGAGAUAAUCUCAAACCCUUUGAUUUAUAUUUAAACUUCUACCCAAGAUAAACAUCAAAAGGUUGCCAAAUUUCGAGUUUUUCUCUCAGACCACUGAAUUGCUUCUGAACAUCUUGAUUCAGUUCGACAGUCACCUGAACAUGGUCAUUUACCCAUCUUUGGAAUUAUUUUCAGUGGCCCAAAUCCCUUCUUUUUAAUCCAACUACUAACCAUUCAUACUCUACAACCAUCAGGGGUUCCAUUUUGCUCAUAAACACCCCUACUUUCUGCACUACAUUUUUCUAAAUUUUGCUCCAAACUCGGGAUCUUGCUCCAAAAUGACAGUUUCAGCAGUCCAGUCCACCGUGGCAAAGUGCUGACUUUGAGCUAAAUUUUAAAUUUACUCCCUUUACUGUUCUUGAUCAACAACACCCGAAUAUACUUGUCCAAAGUUCAUACUUCAUCACUGUAUAGUUGCCUUGGUCCACUUAUUUGGAAAAUUUGGCAGAAAUCAAUUUCAAAAAUGGAUACUUGCACUGUUUUUCCGAAAAUCCAUUUUCGGACAGUGAACAGUACACUCCUGUUUUAAAUUUUUCCAUUGCUUUUCUUGAGAUGUUUAGCACUAAAUUUAGUCCCCAAUCUUGAUUCCAAAGUUCUAAACACUCUCAAGCUUCCAUUCCAUAUUUUUGCCCAAUUUUUCUGAAUUUAGAAUUCAAAAUUCAAAUUUCGGUCAAAUUUGACUUUUAGUCAGUUUCUUCUCUUUUUCUCCAUAAUUCACCUUUAACUUUUCUUAAUCACCUUUGAUGACUUAAAACACCAGGUGUUACAGCCUCCGGCAAUCAGCGAUGGCGGGUGGAGCCCCGGCUUGGUGGCGUUGCGACGAGCCGUGGGGACUGCGCUAGGCCGCCGCCGUCGAGCCACCCGGUGGAGACGAGCGGCCGCUGGCAAGGAGGUGGACACGACGAGUUGGGGUGAGUCGCCGGGAGCAUGCUCGGCCUCGCCACCAUGGGGAAGCAGCAGAUGCCUCUGCCGCGGGGUGAGGCGGCCUGGGCGGAGCAGGGGCCGCAGCUAAUCACGGGCGAGGAGGUCGGGGUGGAGGACUAGGGUGGAGCUGGGCCGCUGCGUCGACGGGGGCUGCCGCAGCGGGGGCCGGGACGGGGACGGGAGGCGGGGGUCGUGCGGGGGUGCCGGGCUGACGGCAUCGGCGGCGCCUGGCCGUGCAGGGGUGCCGAGGCCGGUGGCAUCGGCCGCGCUUGGCCGUGCGGGAGCGGCGGCAAAGGGAGUGGGAGAGGAGAUGCGCGAGGUGGGGUGAAGGAGGGGAGCUCGAAGAGGAGGAGGAAGAGGGGUAGUGCGCCAACCAUAAAUGAGGGGCGCUGUUGUCAUUUGCCAUCAAAUGUGCUAAAGUUUACCACACUAUCCAAACAGCUCAAGGUGCUAAACUUUAGCCCUCCAUUUGAGGGUGCUAAACUUUAGCACUGAAGUUUAGCACAAGGUUCCAAACAGGACCUUAGUUAAAGGUAGCGGAUUGAGUUAGAACCAUCUAGGUUAUCCUCCGCACCAAACCCUACUAGCACGUUCUAGAUUAGCGUGUCAAUUUAAUAAGAAGGAAGUUCAAGCUUCAUAUCCUUCCACUCUGUAUAUUUAAAUGCCUGACCACUCAAGUAUCUGCAUGACCUACUCGCACUCUAUGUGUCUCUCUCUCCAUCUCUGUGUUUCUAUUACCCACCAGCCUAGCUAUAACGGAAAUGUUCGUCUCUCGCCACAUCUUGCAACAUUUUAACAUCUAGGAUGGCGAUUGCGUAGUCGAUCCUUUUGGUUACCACAAGCAUGUCCAUUGGCAUGUGCCUAGCCACAUAUAAAAACUGGAAGGUCUACAUCAAAAGCUUCCUUCUCCUAAGGACGUGGCAAGGUCCAUGACCACUCCUGGACGUGGUGGGAUGAGUAGUGAUGUUCCGCCGCGUCAAGAAGCUCGUCAUCAACGAGGCCUACUCUCAGCUUCUUGAGACCGGCCGUGCGUGUAUGUUAUUUUAGUUACUUUGAUGUCAGUCUAAAUUUCGUGAUGUGGACGUGUGUAAGUAACAAGAUCCCGUUAGGCUAUAGUUUGUGAUUUUAGUAACUGAGUGACAACAUAGUCAUUGGGAUUAAUGGUUUGUCAAUCAUGUACCUUGAAGGUUUUAUAGGUCCCAAGAAUGCAAACUAAACCAUGGCAUGAUCCAAAUGACGAUAUUUUCUGUGCUCAAAUGGCGGUAUUCAACUCAGAAAAAUUAGUAGCACUGGAUAAUCUGAUGGUGCAUUGGAGCAACCAUUGGACUAACCAUUGGAGCAAUUAUUACAAUGGGAAAGGUAGGGAAAAACUUGCAGCAAGCACUGGAUGAUCCGACGGUGUAAUUUUUAGUAGCAUUGGAUGAAUUCUGAAGCGAAGGCACGGAAGACUGAAGCAUCGGAUGAUCCAACGCCUAUGUGGAGGUGACUGUUGGACCAAGCAUAUUUACUGUUUCAAUGCCCAUCGGAUGAAGCGUCGGAAUAAUUUUGGGCGGGGGCCAACGGCUACUUGCAUCAGUAGAUGAUCGGAUGCCUACCCAAAGAGACCAUCGGAUCAUCCGAUGAUCAUAGCUUAGCCUUUGGAGCAACAGCUCUUUGAGGUCCUUGGACUAUUUAUACCCCCUCUACUCGCCCAUUUUGAAAUUAUUGGAGUGUCCAGGAGUGUAAGACAAAAACUCAUCAAGAAUACAUCCAUGCUAGCAAAAGUGAUAAUUCAAGAUUUAGCACAAGCUUAAAAGAGUGAUUAGUGAUAGGAUAGGCCUAGAGAGAGUGAGUGCAAGGUGCUGCUACCUUGUAAUUUGUUCAAGGAGUGAACCACCAUUGUAAGCCUGGUGUGCCUGCACCUUGGGGCCUUGGUGGCUCGUCGGCAAAUCUUCAACCCUCCAGCUUGGUGUGGAGUGGCGAUGACUGUGUGCAGGCGAUGAGGAGACCCCUUCCUUCGUGGAGAAGCUCCGUAGUAGAGAUAGCGUCAAGGUGAUCGGAAGAAAGGAAGUGGUGAGCCUUGCCGUCAAGCUUCUCAUCUGGCUUGGCGAGAGCCUUUGUGGCGAGCUCAAGACCUUUGACCGAGAGAGAGUUGGUGACCGGGAGCAUAUCCUUGGUAGAGCUUCAGCAUGAACUAGGGGUGGCAUUUUCCUACCAAUACCACGGGAUAAAUCACCGUGUCGAGUUUGCAUCCUUCCUAACCCACUCAUUUACGUUUUCACAUUUCAUACUUGCAACUUGAGUACAUGUACUUUCUAGAGUAGUAUCUUGAUAGGAUUAAUUGGCUCUAGGUUGCAAAAUUCUUUGUGAGUGGGAAGUUUUUCACUACAUCAACAAUAGUUGCACAUCUAGAUAGCAUGAUCUAUUUUAUAUUUGAUGCUUUGAAGUGGAAACCAUAGGUCAAGAUUUUAAGUUUGCCUAAUUCACCCCUCCCCCUUUAGGCUACGAGCACCGAUUCCUUUCGAUGUGGAACAACAUGUACUGAUAUUUAGUGUAAUAAAAUUAUUCGCUUGUGUUUAUUAAGUUUUCGAAUUUUGUUUCUUAUUUAAACAACAUUCUAACCGGUCUAGAAUCGAGCUGCUUAGAAUGAGUUCCUGCACUUGUAUUAAGUUUUCCUACUCCUCUGCCGCUCGCCGCUUCUCCCCCGCUCCUCCUCCUCUAAUGUAAAUGGUGUCAUCUGCGGAACAGGUGGCCAAGGCAGCGGCAGCUUUGGCGACCACAGUGACGUGCCUCGCUGAGGCCAUGGCAUGCACGGUGGUUUCCGCAACCGCGAGAGAGGUGGUCCUCCGCUCCCUUGCCGUAGCCGCCACCGGAUCUGCAGCCAUCCUGACUGGAUCCGCAACAGAGACGCAGAAGGCCCUUGCAUCCUCCACCCGUGCCAUCGCAGAUGCGGCCGCAGUGGUCGUGGGGAGGUAGGCCACACUGGUGGCAGGGAAGGUUCGUGCUCGCGCGGCCUUGGAGAGCCAGCUAUGCCUCCCCUUCGACCAUAACCUCCAUCGCAGUGGUGGUGGCAGGCGGUAGGGCGGCCGGUGCUCUUAACCUUUCUUUAUCUCCUAAGGGGGGAAAUAUUUCUUUAUUUGUCAUGGGGCUUUUUUUUCGAAAUAUAGACGCUCACAUAAACACACUCACACUCAUCACUAUGAAUACACGCAUGCAACCGUACCCUUGUGAGUACCUUCGAGAUACUGAGCUGGUAUAUUCUUGAGAUUGACGAAGUUACAACUGGCGUCUUGCUGUUGACGGGUACGUUACCUACCACUGAAAUAAUAGUGCUCGUUAAGUUUUAGAAUAGAUCUAAGAAAAUACGAGCAUCGAUGUCGAGUCGAGUAUUCGAACUAGGGUGAAUAAGUUCCGCUAUAAGCUGUGCUCAGUUUCUGCCACGGAGCUUUUCAGUAGCCGUGAAAGACAAGCAUUGAACCAUGACGCAAAUAAUUUGUCUCGCACAGCUAGAUCUACCAACGGCUAAAGCAAAAAAAAAAAAAAGCUUUGACGGUUUCAAAUGCUUCCACGUGGUUGCGUGCACGUGUCUGCGGAUCUUAUUAGUAAAAGCCAACAAUUUGUAUAGGCACAAAGCGUCAAAGCCCAUGCAACCUGUACUUAUUUGAAUCAAUACAUUGAAGUUUGUUAGAUUAAGUCGUAAUUAUGAGAUGGACAUAAAAAUAUGAGAUGGACAUAAAAAAAUAAUUUCUGCCUCCACCCGUUGUGCACCAGCAGUCCGGCACUAUAUAUAUGAAUAUUAUGUCGAAGGUUUCAGUAUGUUAUCUCUCAAGCGGGCCUGCUCAUCAAGUGCUCAACCACCUCUGUUCCAGAAAACACCGCUCCUUUUCUCAGUAGAACUAGCAAGGCAUGGCUAACCACCAUAAGCGUUGUCCCUUAACCAGUGCCUUCGUCUUUAUUCUCUCUUACAUUGUUCUGAUAGCAUCAGUAGAGUCAGCAAGGCCAGGAUUGUCUUACAACCAACAUUCUCCUACAUACCCACAGAUGCACGACUUCCAAAAUGAACAGCUUUUCCACGCGUAUUUCGUCAUUCAGAGCUUCAAAAAUACCGUCACAUGCGAUCCUAGGAACAUCACGUCAACCUGGACCGGCCCUGACAUCUGCGGCAAAAGGAGCUACGUGGGCUUCUAUUGCGCGAGAAAGCAGGGACCCGGUAGCAACCUCACGGUGACUUCAGCCAUUUUCAAUGGCUUUGGCCUGUGUGCGCCAAUGCUUCGAGGCUUCCUCGACCAGCUUCCCGAUCUUGCUCAUUUCCAGGCUACAUCUAACAAUUUUGGUGGUGAUGUCCCCAGCCUUGCCGGCCUGACGGAGGUGUCCAACGUUGAUGCCAACGGUAGGCGUAAACAAAAUAGAGAGGGAUCACAGAGCACUACAAGUAUUGAGAUAGAUAAUAUCGGAGUAACGGCAAAAACGAUGGGUGACCUAGUUCACGCAAUCACGCAUCCCUUUGAGAAUAGUAUUUCAGCACACUUACCCAAAAACAACUCAAGCCCUCGAGCCUCCUUUGCGCCGCCUUCCUCAUUGAGCCCAAGCACCGAGAGGCUUGGAUUUCCAAAGAUGAACUACCUCGCCCUCGCCAACAACAAGCUCACGGGUCCAAUUCCACCAUCAAUCGCAGAGGCACAAGAUACUCUCCUCGAGGUACUAUUCCUGAACAACCAGCUCUCCGGCUGCCUCCCUAACGAGCUGGGCAUGCUCCACAAGGCGACCGUCAUCGACGCCGGCAUGAACCAGCUCACCGGCCCGAUCCCUGCAUCCUUCUCGUGCCUCAGCAGCGUCGAGCAGCUCAAC
rnacentral:lncRNA from 1 species